rnacentral:lncRNA from 1 species
GCAUACAUAGAUAAAUAAAGUGUAUACAGUACUUUGCCAAUGGUUUCAAAUUUAGUGGUUUCAUUUUGGACCACAUAUUUAUUUUUACAUUGUCUUUAUUUUUCACUUAAAACAAUAGCCACAUAUGUUUCUACACAUUCACCAUAUGAUACAUUUUACACACACACAUUUUAGAGGGAAAAUCAGAUUUUGGGAAAGGGGGAAAACCCUAAUAUAUUUUACAUAUGUCCCCCACCCUCUCAUUCACACACCAGUCGCCUCCUCUCUUUGGUUCUCUUCUCUCUCUCACUUGGGAGAUCUAUUGCCUCCCCUCCAGGCUCCAUUUCUGCCGCCCGCCGAGAUUGAUCGUCGGCGAUGACUGGGAAAGGCUGAUACCACUAUUGUCGCCCUCUUUUCCCUCUUUAUUAUCACUAUUUUGUCGGAGUCGCACCACCGGUGACGACGACUAAUCCAUGUCAUUGUUCUUCACCUCUCUCUCUCUCUCUUCUGCUUUAGAUCUCACACCCCUGUUGGCCGGAAAAUGGUUUCCUUUAUUAAGCUUGCCGGCAGAUCUGGAAUGGUCCAAGUUUUGGAGAAGCUUUACCGAAAAACUCCAGAUCCGACGAGCCUCGUUCGCGCUUAGCUUGUUUCUUGAGUCUCAUCGGCUCCCCUAUUUUCGAUGACCUCACCGGACCUCGCGUCUGGUUUGUGCAGUCACUGCUACUGUUACUUUUGAGAGAACAUUAUUGUCACUUCUUGGAGGCCAUUUCUUGGCCACUGAUCUGGGUGUUGUUCAAUUUUCCGAUGAUCUCUCUUGCUCGUUUUCCUUUACAGAUUUAUGUCUUUAUUUGAUUAAUUAUUUGUUGAUAUUUGAUUCAUUUUCUUUGGGUUGUUACUGUUCUGUGGGACUUUUUUUUGGGUGUGAUUUACGCGAUGGCUGCAAAGACUCGCCGGAAAAUUAUUUUCGGCGUUGAUGGUGUUUCUUGCGCGAUGGCUGCCUCGUUGAAGACUUGUUAACACAUUUUGUGUUUAUGAAUCUGUGUUGGUUACUAAAAUUAGGUUGUGGGGCCUACGAAAAGAUGUAAAUGUUUUAGGCCUUGUGAUAAUUUUUGACUGAUAAAGAACAAGAUAUUACACCGUCCCUCAGAUCCGGAACAAAAUAUAUUUAUGAGACGAUGACGAAAGCCAAAGAAAAAUAAAAGACAAGAAUGUGAAUAUCCAUGCUUUGGAAGGCAACAAGGUUGGUCACUGGAGUUGCAACCAAGUUAAUAUUCACAUUCUAAUGUCUUAUUGCUAUACGUCAUAUGCCAUCCGAAUCAUUUUCUAAAAUAAUUUCCAAAAAAUAUUUUUUUUAAAAUCAUUUUCUAAAGCAAUUUCCAAACAUAUUUCAAAUCAUUUUCAAAGAGAAACAAUCUUUUAUAAAAGUAUUUUCAAAGAAAAACCAUUUAAAAAUUAAUAAUAUUUAAUUUAUUUUACUUUAUAUUAUCUUACUAACAAUUUUGCUUCUUUUUUGCGAGUUACAAUCACAUGAAGUCGCAUUCGAAAGAUGAUGCUCAUAUUGACUUGAUAUCCCCGUCGAAACCCCGCUCCGUCACUUUCCAUUCUCAAAUGCACAAAAAUACAAGUAUAAUGAAAUAUUAGUUAUAUAUUGCAUGCUACUUAUUUCCUUGCUUGAUAUGUUUAGUUGCACAAAUUAUGUUAGAAUAAUGUACUUAGUCAAUCACUUGAUCCAUUACUAGUUAAUCAUAAUGUUCUCAAUACUUGGGCCUUAGACAUAUUCAUACAAUUGGUUUGGUUAACUUGAUUCAUAUUCACUUAGUUAAUCCAACUAAUUUGCUUAACUCGAGUAAAUUGAGCUAGUGAAUAAUUUAAUUGUGUUUAGUAUAAAUCUUAGUAGAUUUAAUUAUUAUGAGAUUCUCUCCACUCUUAGCAUAUCUUAUAAUAAUACACUUGAAUGAAUAAUUUCUUUAGCUAACAAUAUGUAUUAAAGUAAUAGUCUUAGGUGAAGUUUUAAUCAUAGGAGCAAUUUAUUUAUUUCUACACAUAUUCUUUCACUGAAAAUAGCUCUUUUUACGUAUAUCCUUGACAAAUCUCCCUAGACUUCAUUUUAUUCAACUAACUCUUUAGAAUGAAAAUUUGGUAAUUCUAUUGUCACAUGUAAGAUUUAUGUAAAUAAUUCUUUUCCAUUGCUCCCCUAUUUGUGAUAAAUUUUUCUACUUUACUUGAUUAUUCCUUUUAAUUUAAUUGAUGACUAUUUAUAUUCAAAGAUAAUUCGUUACCUAUCAUUAUAUGUAUUCAACUAGGAUUAAUCAAAUAUAGUUAAAUCACUUAGCUUCAAAUUACAAGUCAAGGUUUUUCCUUAUACUUUCUUUCGAAUCCAUUUCUUCCAAUCAAACUCCAAAAAGAAUUUUGUUUAUUAAUUUGCUUUGUGUAUUUUAUUAUACAUAUCUUGCCAUAAAUGAAAUAGUUGUUCUUCAAAUAUUCAUUCACUACGUUGGCUACUCUUUGGUAGGAAUUCUUUGUGAGGUAGUUGGUCAUUUGAGAGGCUUAGGCCUUAUAGUCAACUUGGCCCAAAAGUGGUGUUUCAAGACCGUGGCUCUAAAGAUGGUCUCUAGCUGCUUAUUGAAUGAUCAUUUUUUCGUAAUACAAAUACUUCCUUAUUAUAUUGGUAUGGUAAUUUUCUUAUGUCAUAAAUAUUUUGAUGCAUUCUCUUAUAUCAUAUUCAUUCAUCAAAUCAAUUCUUUAUUCAUUAAAUCAAUUCUUUCACUUUACUCAUUAUGCACUAAGAUUAUCCGAGGAUGACUCUUCCUCUAUUCUUGAAUCAAAUUCCUUGCUAAUUAUUUAUCCAUAUGCAAAUAAAUAUUCUUUCCUCCUUUUUCUGAGAUCCUUUAGUAUAAAUUUUCUCUUGUUGUAGUUAUCCAUCUAAGACUCUUAACUCUAAUUAUGAAUCGUUUUCUCUUUAAGUUUAUUCUUAUAAGUUCAAACUUUUAUUCAAACAAUCCGAGUUAACAUACACUCUUUAGGUUCAAUUCUUUUUAUAUUGUUCAAUCUACACUAAAAAUACUAUCCUUGAAUAUAUUUUUAAUUUUUUUGUACACUACAUAUUAUUACAUAUAUAUUUUGUCAAAUAUUUUACUAUUCUUUAUCUAGAACUCAGUUUACACUCAGAUCAUCUUCUGGAAUAUGAUUCCCUUGUCCACUUUACAUAGGGAUGUUAAAGGUUAUUUAAAAACCGAUUGAACCGACCGAACCGAACCGCACCAAACUGAUUUUUAGGUUUUUUUAAUAAAAUCGUAGGUUCUUUUAUAUAUUUAUCACCGCAUUGAAAAAUUAGGGUAGAUUUUUAAUUUUAUUUAAGGAAUCAAAAAAAUAACCGAGCCGAACCAAACCGACUAUAUAUAUUUUAUACGACCAAAAUCGAGUUCGCCUGGGACAUGGUAUAUCAGGCUCGAAACGUGGCAACAAAGGGCUGAAGAUCGACCCCAAGUCCCAUCGGGUUAGAACCUAGGGGCUGAACGCCUACCUUCGAAGAAUAUCGAAACCGUGAUCCCGGAAUCGGUCCUAGCCUCGAACGAGUUUGAAGAAAUAUUGUUAGCAUAGCCAACAGAAGGCCGAAAUAUCCGUGACCGACCGGAUAUUACGGCGGCAAUCACGACACGUAUCGAUAAGGGAUCAUUAAUCAGUAAAUCAAGAGAUUUAUUUACCAUUUAUUAUACCUAAAGUAGGACUCCUCUACUAUAUAAAGGAGGUCUGAUAAUUCAUAAAACACAUUGUAACACGCACUAAAAAGUAAUAUAUUAUUAUUUUUCUCUUUAAGCUCUUAUUCAUCUGUAUCUUGAGACCGAUCGAAGUACAUCCGGUUCGAGGGUGACUGGUCUUCCAAGACUGAAAUUGUCCAAUUCGUGUAGUUUGAAUUUCCUUUAUCGUUAUUUAUUUCAAUUGCAACUCAAUUUAUCAUUUUGUAUCAGUUAAUCCGUAUAUCCUUAAAACCACUUACAAAUUCAAUUGUUAUCCGAUUUUGAGGGUAAACAGUUUGGCGCCCAACGUGGGGCUAAGGAUAAUAGUGGUUAUUUAAUAUAAAUUUCCAUAACACAAACUACUUUACACUUGUUCUUUGAAGUGUCUCUAUAUAUUCAGGUUAAAGCUCAAAAUGUCAAACUCUCAGUCGGCACCCUUACAUGUUGAUAAUGAGUCCGGCCAUCACGGUGAAAAUAAUAACGUACUGCCCACUAGUCAUGAGCAUCUACUACAAUUUGUUUGAUAAUAUCGAGACUAACAUAGUCUGAAAAAUAGUUAAAUACAACUAAAGAAAGAUAAGAGGGAGAAGAGCAGGGCUGCGAUCGCCAGGCAGCUACCUUGCUAUCCCAGAGAAAAUCUGCAACCGAAAUAGUCAACAAUUGCUACCGCGUCCAGAUACACCUGGAUCUGCACACAAGGUGCAGGGAGUAACGUGAGCACGCCAACUCAGUAAGUAACAACAGUAAAUAAAGACUAAGAAGUAGUUACGAGCAAUAAUGCAAGUAAAUUUCAUAUCACAAAUAAAUUCAGUAAAAUACAACAUGAUUUUAAAACCAGGGUUUAAUCAAAUCAACUCUUUUAAAUCCAGUUCUAGUAAAAUCAUUUAAAGACAUCUUUUAACAAUUUUCACUCGUAUACAGCCUCUCGGGCAGACCUCACCAUCACUCAUGCCUCCCAGUCACUCGGCACUCGCACUCAGUAGGUACUUGUGCUCACUGGGAUAUGUAUAGACUCCAGAGGGGCUCCUUCAGCACAAGCGUUAUAUCAAGCCAAUCAUGGAAUAAAUCAAUAAGCCCUUCGGCCUAUAUCAAACAUGCUGCGGUGUGCAGUCCGAUCCCAUAAAUAUCCUCACAAAUCAGGCCCUCGACCUCACUCAGUCAUAAACCUCUCCAGCCUCUCGGGCUCUCAGAAAAUAAAGUAUUCAACCCAAACAACAUUUAUAUGAUGCAUCAAAAUAGAGUAAUAGAGACUGAGUUAUGCUGUAAAUAUAUAUAAACAUGACUGAGUAUAAAUUUUUAAUCAAAAACAAUGAGAGGAUAGCAAGAAAAGACAUCUAAGGGUCCAAACAACACAGGCAUAAGGCCUAAACAUGGCAUCCAGCCUGACUUGCAGAAAUGCUUUCUAAAACACAUAAGCCAUUCCCCAGGGGCCGAUGCGGAAGCGCACCAAAGUGUCCAUCACAAGGGAGAAACGGACUCCGGAUUACAUGCCGGAAGGAACCUUGUCUUUCAAUGACGAAGACGCCAAGGGGAUAGUGCAGCCCCACAAUGAUGCACUGGUAAUAUCGAUACUCAUAAAUAAAUCUCGAAUUAAGCGUAUGUUAAUUGAUCCAGGUAGCUCAACCAACAUCAUCAGAUCGAGGGUCGUGGAACAACUCGGCCUACAAGAUCAUAUCGUACCUGCGGUCCAAAUCCUGCACGAGUUCAACAUGGCAUGCGAGACCACUAAAUGGGAGAUAACAUUACCGGUGAACGUCACCGGAACCGUACAGGAAGCUAAGUUCUAUGUAAUCGAAGGGGAUAUGAGAUACAACGCUUUGUUCGGGAGGCCAUGGAUUUCACAACAUGAGAGCAAUACCCUCGACACUACACCAGGUGUUUUAAUUCCCAACACUGGGAGGAAUCAAAAUAAUCUAUGGGGAACAACCGGCCGCCAAGGAGAUGUUCGUAGUUGGUAAGGUGAUCCCGGCAUCCAUAUUCUCGACAUCGAAGAAUCUAAAUCGGAUGGUCAAAGACGGGGCCAAAUAGCAAUCAUCGAUACCAGGCACGAUAGAAUCGGAGGAAUGAGGGGUAGACGAGGACGACGAAUAUGGAGUCCCCAGAUCUUUCAUAGCCCCCGACGAUUUCAAUGCUACAAAAUCAAUGGUCGAGGAACUGGAGAAAGUAGUACUAAUUCAACACUUUCCCGAUCGAAAGGUAUACUUGGCACGGGGUUAAACCCCGAGCUCAGAAAAAACUCAUUCAAUUUCUUAUAGCUAACGAAGAUUGUCUUGCUUGGUCCCAUCUUGAUAUGGAAGGGAUCCAGCUGGAAAUAACCACUCACAACCUUAGCCUGGACCCGAAGUUCCACCCAGUCAAAUAGAAGAGGAGACCCCAGUCCGAGGUCAAACAUGCUUUCAUCAAGGAUGAGGUAUCUAAACUCCUUAAAAUCGGGUCCAUUUGGGAGGUAAAAUACCCGGAUUAGUUAGCGAACGUAGUGAUAGUCCCUAAAAAAGGGAAAAAAAUUAAAAAUGUGUGUAGACUAUAAGGAUUUGAAUAAGGCAUGUCCCAAAGACUCCUUCCCUUUGCUCAACAUCAAUUUCAUGAUCGAUGCCACGGCCGGCAACGAGAUUCUCAAUUUUCUCGACGCCUACUCUAGGUAAAUCCAAAUACGUAUGAACCGGGGCGAUCAGGAAAAAACCUCCUUCAUCACUAAGUAUGGCAAUUAUUGCUAUAACGUGAUGCCAUUUGGAUUAAAAAAUGCUGGUGUCACUUACCAAUGCCUAGUAAACCGGAUGUUCGAGGAACAAAUAGGAAAAUCAGUGGAGGUUUACAUUGACGAUAUUUUGGUUACAUCCCUGCGAGAAGAGGACCAUUUGAAAUAUUUGCAGGAAACCUUCAGGAUAUUGAAGAAGUACAAUAUGAAGCUGAACUCGGAGAAAUGUGCAUUUGGAGUUGGAUUCAGUUAAUUCCACUGAUUCAUGGUGUCCAACCGGGGAAUCGAGAUCAAUCCCGACAAGAUCAAAGCCAUCGAAUAUAUCACGGUUGUGGACAACGUGAAGGCCGUGCAAAGAUUAACCGGACGCAUAGCCACCCUGAGACGAUUCAUCUUGAGGUCCUCUGACAAGAGCCACCGAUUCUUCUCACUAUUGAAGAAGAAGAAUAACCUUUCAUGGACACCGGAACGCCAACGGUCCUUGGAGGAACUCAAGCGGUAUUUAUCAAGCCCACCUCUGCUUCAUACUCCGAAGACGGACGAGCAACUAUACCUGUACUUAGCAGUAUCAGAAGUAGCGUUAAGUGGAGUCCUGGUCCGGGAAGAGAAAGGUACGUAAUUUCCAAUUUACUAUGUUAGCAGGACUUUAGGUGAGGCCGAAACUAGAUACCCUCUCCUGGAGAAAUUGGCGCUCGCUUUGCUAUGCGCCUCUAGAAAGCUGAAACCGUACUUUCAAUGUCACCCCAUAUGUGGUGUGACUACUUACCCAUUUAGGAAUAUAAUUCAUAAGCCCGAGCUCUCGUGACGGUUGGCCAAAUGGGCUGUGGAAAUCAGUGGGUACGAUAUUGAAUAUUGGCCCUAGACCGCCAUUAAAUCUCAAAUUUUGGCAGACUUUCUGGCCGAGUUUACGUCGUCCUUAAUACCCGAGGUCGAAAGAGAGUUAUUGUUGAACUCGGGGACUUCUUUGGGGAUCUGGACCCUCUUUACGGACGUCAUCGCAAAUGCAAAAGGGUCCGAAUUUGGCAUCGUAUUGAAGCCACCGACAUGCAAUGUAGUUAGACAAUCUAUUAGGACUAUAAAAUUGACUAACAAUGAGGCAGAAUAUGAGGCCAUGAUUGCAGGUCUCGAACUAGCCAAAAGCUUGGGGGCGGAGGUGAUCGAAGCUAAGUGCAACUCCCUCCUUGUGGUGAACCAAGUUAAUGAGACGCUCGAGGUCAGAGAAGAACAAAUGAAAAGGUACUUGGAUAAGUUGCAGGUAACAUUAACAUAGAUUCAAGGAGUGGACUCUAUAACACGUGCUUCGGGAUCAAAAAACUGAAGCUGAUGCCCUUGCUAACCUGGGAUCGUCGGUCGAGGACGAUGAGUUCAACUCGAGGGCGGUCGUACAACUCAUGAGAUCGGUAGUAGAGGAAGGCCACGCUGAAAUAAACUCAAUGAUCCUGACUUGGGACUGGAAAAACAAAUAUAUAGAAUAUCUGAAGACCAUAAAACUGCCCUCAGAUCCAAAAGAAUCAAGGGCCUAGCAUACGAAGGCAGCCCGAUUCAGCUUGUCCGAAGAUGGAACCCUGUUUAGAAGAACAUUUGAUGGCCCACUCACGAUAUGUCUAGGAGUAGGAGAUACCGAGUACGUUUGGAGGAAAAUUCAUGAAGGCACCUGCGGAAAUUUUUCAGGCGCCAAAUCAUUGGUUCAGAAGAUAAUUAGAGUCGGCUAUUACUGGAUCGACAUGGAAAAGGAUGCGAAGGAGUUCGUAUGAAAAUUUGAUGAAUGUAAAAGACAUGCUCCGAUGAUUCAUCAACCCGAGGAGCUGCUUCAUUCGAUUUUGUCACCAUGGCCGUUCAUGAAAUGAGGAAUGGACAUCGUUGCCCUUUUCAUGGGCACCCGAUAAGGCUCAAUUUAUAUUGUUUAUGACUGACUAUUUUUCUAAGUGGGUGGAAGCCCAGGCAUAUGAGAAAGUCAGAGAGAAAGAAGUCAUCGAUUUCAUUUGAGACCACAUCAUAUGUCGGUUCGGAAUGCCGGCCGAGAUCUUGUGCGACAACGGGAAACAAUUCAUCGACAGCAAAGUAAGCAAGUUUCUCGAAGACCAUAAGAUCAAAAGGAUCCUAUCAACGCCCUACCACCCUAGUGGGAACAGACAAGCAGAAUCGACCAACAAAACCAUACUCCAAAACCUCAAAAAUAGGUUAACCGACGCCAAAGAAAAAUGGAAGGAAAUCCUGCCCGAAGUCCUAUGGGCAUACUGCACGACCUCGAAGUCUAGUACCGGGGCCACCCCAUUCUCGCUGGUUUACGGUGUCGAAACUCUAAUACCGGUCAAAGUUGGAGCUAUUAGAUAAAAGGCGCAAAGCCUCCCUUGUCCGAUUGGCCGCCCAAAAACAGCAGAUCGAGAGGUAUUACAAACGAAGGGCCAACCUUCGACACUUCAAUGUUGGGGACUUAAUGUUAAGGAAGGUCACGCUAAGCACCCGGAACCCAAACGAAGGGAAACUGAGGCCGAAUUGGGAAGGGCCAUAUCAAAUUAUCGAGAUCACUGGAAAAUGAUCGUACAAACUCAGAGCAAUGAACAGUGAACGACUACCGAACAACUGGAAUGUAACUUACUUAAAGCGAUACUACUGCUAAGGUACGACCCCGUUCAUUCCUUUUACUUAUUUGCAUUUCGAACUAGCACUUGCAGGCAACCGUCAAAGAACGAUACAAUUCUUAGGCCUGAAAGCACGCAUUGCACUCUUUUUCCCUUGGACCGGUUUUGUCCCAAAUGAGUUUUCCGGCAAGGUUUUUAAUGAGGCAAUAGUAAAUCGUGCUAACUUAGAAUUGAGGGUGGGUUACAAACCAGUGUUGAAGAACACAACAACAGUAUUCGAGGCUUCUCUAUUAUUGUCCUCGAACUCUGGGGGGCAUCACCCUCGGACAAUGGCCUUAGCAAGGAAAGAAACUUUGUGACUGAAUAGUCUCGACUCGAUUGAUAGGAUUUACUGUAAGGGCCAAACGGUCAAAUGAACCAUGCCCACAUAGACUACUCGAGCCCUGACAUAAAGCAUGUACACAUGUGUAACCAUAUAUAUUACACAUAGAAAUAAAAAAGUCUCUACCUUGCGGAUAAAAAUCUUGUCCCUUAAAAUUUUUUUUUAUUUCUUCUCUCUUAAAGAAUUUCCUACAUUCAAUCCUCCAAAGGUAUCGAGCCCAAUGAUCGCCUUUAUUCUGGUUCAAAUGAUCGCUCUCACUAAGGGACUGCCUUCCAAAGACAAAUUUGGAAGGCCCGGGCUAUCAGAGCCCGUGGGCACAAGACCUAUUAGGCAGCACCCAAACUUUAAAGGCUACGGCCAUCCCCACUCGGGAAAUAUUAUUUUAGCCAAGCUUGGAUAACUCGGGGCAAAAAGCUCACUGGGCAACACCCAAACUAAAAAGGCUACGGCCAUACUAAAAUGGCUCGGAGACCUCCAGGAUGCCUUAAAAUUUUCUAAAUCUAUUCUAAAGGCUACUCUCGGCAAACUAUAAUCUAAAAUAUUAUAAGUACUUUGGAGAAUCGUUUCUGAUCAUACCGAACCCCCACGAUGCCUUAAAUAAAAUAGUGUCGAAGGCAAGGCCUGUUCGAACCUUCGAACAUAACCUAACUACUUCAUGCUAAGGUAUUUCGAUCUUUACAAACAUAAAGAAUAAAGCAACGGAAAACGAACUCAGAAAUUUUCGAAGGUAAAAAAGAAGCUUUGUAUUAUAUAUACGUAAAGUCUUUACAAAGGCCAAACGAUCGUGACAAAAAGUACAAAAGUACAAAAAUACAAAAAAUAAAGGAAAAUAUACAAGGCACUAAAACGGCAUGUUCUUCCCCGGAACCCGCCUCAUCGCGAGGGUCUUAGGAGUCUCCUCCACCCUCGGAUCCGUUUGAACCCUCAGAGUCUUAUUCAUCCUCGGGAUAUGCCAACUUCUUGGCCUCGGUUUCGAGCCCCUUAGCACUCUCAAUUUCAGCCGAUAAGUUGAAACCUCGAGCAUGAAUUUCCUCGAGGGUCUCCCUUCAGGAUUGCCGCUUCGCGUAAUCGACGAUAUCAUUCAGUUUAUCCUGGGCCGCCUCGGUAUCGGCGUUAUAUUGGGCCACUAUCUCGUCGGCAUCAGCUUUGACCACCACUACCACCGACUUGGCCGUUUCGAGCUCCUUGGCGAGAGUUUCUCGAUCAGAGACUGUCAUGCCCCGAGCUUGGGGGUGAGACCGGCACCCGGUGCCUCAUCUAUCCUUGAUACCAACUUGCGACUUAUGAAUUCUGGACAUAUAAUGUCAUACUUUGGCCAGGGACUACAUUACAAGAUAAUUUGCAAAGCAAAAUAUAAAACUGAAUAGAGACUAACGCUGACUAAAUAUCAACAUAAAGCUAGGCUGGCAAGGCCAUCAUAAUUACUAAAACUAACAAGCCAACAAAAUAUACGUACAGGGCCUAUAAGCCCAACAUACUGCACUAACUGACAGGAUAUGUCUACAAGCCUCUACUGAUAGAUGUACUGUGAUCGGAACAGGGCCCCAACCUACCCAUAACCUAUCUACAUAUAUACACAAGAUGUACACAAAACCUCUAGACCUGGCAACUCCGAAGGAUGGGGAGCCUACCGAUAAAGCUGAACUCGGGCAACACCUACUAAGGAGGUCUACCCGUCUGUCUGUCUGAACCUGCACGCAUGAAAUGCAGCACCCCCAGAAAGGGACGUUAGUAUGAAAUAAUGUACCUAGUAUGUAAGGCAAUAUACGGAAAGCUGAACUGAACUGAUAAUCUGAACAUAUGCUUACCUGCUGAUAAUGACUCAACUCUCUCAAUAUAGUUAGUAAAAUAGUUGCCCAGCCCUAUAAGGCUUGGUAUAUAUAUAUAUAUAACUACUCUGCCGUAGUAGGCUCGCUCAUAGGCACUCGGCCAUACUAGGCUCUGUAUCUAGACCAACUGGGCUCGCUCAUAGGCGCUCGGCCACAGUAGGCUCGGUAUAUAACUUACCAUCUGAUCAUAAGUUGCCCAAUAGGGGCCUGCCCAUCGAUUAUAACUCGUUAGUAAUAAAAAUACUAGAAUAAUGUAUAUAUAGACUCUCUGUUCUCUUGACUGGAAGAAGGAAAUACUCAAUUAAAUAUUGUACUUACAAGACUAGGUGUAACUCUUUCUGGAAAUGAGUCUACAAAUCAUGCCAAGCUACCCUUUGAACUUGUUCAACAUGAUGUGAGGCCUUGGAAAAAAUAUUCAUGUUACCCUUAUUGACUAUUUAUUCUUGAACUUGGUUGUUUUUAUGAAAAUUUCCCGAGUGAUUUUCACUACUCAAAUAUGCACAUACUAAGACCGCGAAGAACUUGUUACUUCCUAGGCGACAUGCAACUUCGAGUAAUGCCACAAAUAAUAUAAAAUUAGUAGAGUAUCAUUGGAUAUGUAUUUAAUUAAUUCAAACUCAAGAUUAAGCCCCAACUCCCUUAUCAAACAAAAGUUGUGGUUUGAACGAUUUACCUUAUUAAAUAUACGUAAAUUCCGGGACAUAAAUAUUUUCUUUAUACCUCGUUAUCAAACUUGUGUAAUUACGAGAUCAUGCCAAAAUGAAGGAAAAGCUUAGCCUUAAUAUACCUGGAUUAGGGAAAAGUCCGUAUGAUAUUCUUGGAAAAGAUUGCACUGUACUCCUUUAGAACCGUAAAAUUUUACAUUGCUAUGGCUCUAACAAUUCUUGUUGGAAUUGUUUGGUUGCAAGAAGUCACGUUGAAAACUUACAAGAAUUCACUUCUGAUUGUAACAUUGUUUUGUAUUAGAAUUUUUAGUAUUGAAAUGUCGUACUCAAAAUCCUAGAAUGAAGUGUUGCUAACGUUCUGAUGAAGUCUUUCAAAUAUGAAGUGUUGUGUUCAAAUUACUCUUACAAGUCUUGUUAUUCAAAAUGUAAGAAUGAGGUGUCUUUUAAUUAUUAAUUAGGUUGCCACCUAAUCCAAAAAUGACUAAGAGUCACUUGUUUAGAAAGUGGCUUGCUGCCACUUAAUCCCUUGUUGGGGAAUUUAAACUUUAUCCAAUAAUGAAUUAGGUAGUAUCCCGCUAUCCGGUAAUUAAUCGAUUACCCGCAUAAUUAAGAAUUAUCUCAAAUUACUUAAAAUUCUACUUAUUUUUAACACACUUUAUACAUCACACUAUCACGGUCAUAUGGUACCUUGUAUGGUACUAGUCCAUAAGUAUCGGGUAUUAUAGCUCGGACCGUAUUUCAUCCCAAAUCGGCAACCUUCAACGAAACUUUUUUUUUUUAAAUUCGUGUACCCUUUAUCUUUUAUGGAACUUACUUACCGCUUGUUAUAAAUAGCAUAAAUACAUUAAUCUCAAGAUCAUAUCAUCCCCGAGUCUACGUCAACUAACUGAAGACGAAACUUUUAUCGUACGAAAAUGUGAGAUGUAACAUCCUUCCCCCCUUAGAAAUAUUCGUCCUCGAAUGUCUACUCUUAGAUACUUUGGGAUAAUUUUUGCCAUAGUCUCCUCCGUACACUAGACUAAAACCACCUUGCACGCAGCCAGAUAAUAUAUUAUACAUUCCACACAUGGUCACUGUCUAUAAAUAGCAACACUUGGCUUCACACAUAUAUCCAUUAUGAAUUCUGAGAGUAAAAAAUGAGAGCUCACCUGAUGACCUACUGGCCUGAAUAUAGUUGUGCUGAGGUAUCCCACCUCGAGCAAUAUCUUCAGUUUGAAAUUGGUGAAGGUAUUUAGACUUCAUUUCUUCCUCCGCUUCCCACGUCAUCUCUUCCAUAUUAUUGCUCCUCCAUAAAAUCUUCACGGAGGUUAUAUCCUUAUUCCGUAGCUUGCGUAUUUUUCGGUCUAGGAUGGCAACCGGAAUUUCCUCGUAUGACAAGUCCUCUGUAAUAUAUAUAUCAUCCGUGGGCACCACUCGGGUAAGAUCGCCAAUGCACUUCCGUAACAUAGAUACAUGAAAAAGCGGAUGGACAUAAUCCAAUUCCGAGGGCAAUUCUAAUUCAUAAGCUACUUGGACCACCUUCCGAAUGAUCCCAUAUUGCCCAAUAUACCGUGGGCUAAAUUUGUCUUUCUUGCCAAACCUCAUCACACCCUUCAUAGGUGACACCUUGAAGAAUACCCAGUCAUUAACACCGAACUCUAAAUCUCGUCGACGCACGUCAGAAUAUGACUUCUGAUGACUCUGAGCUGUCAAUAGUCACUCCCGGAUAAGCUUUACUUUUUCUAUGGCCUGUUGAACCAGAUCCGGCCCAUGUAACCCAGAUUCUCUAACAUCAAACCACACUAUAGGAGAUCUGCACUUACGCCCAUACAAAGCCUCGUACGGAGCCAUCUGGAUACUGGAGUGGUAAAUUUUAUUAUAUGUAAACUCGAUAAGAGGUAGCAUCCCAACUUCUUUUAAAAUCCAACACACAUGCUCGUAACAUAUCCUCGAGCGUCUGAAUUGUGCGCUCGGCUUGCCCAUCAGUUUGUGGAUGAAAAGUUGUGCUGAGAUUCACCUGAGUUCCUAGACCUCUCUAAAAUGACCUCCAAAAAUAUGCUAUAAACUGGGCCCCACGGUUAGAUAUAAUAGCUACUGGUACUCCGUGUAGUCACACUAUCUCUUUAAUAUAUAACGUUGCAUAAUCUUCUGUUUUUAUAUGUAGAUCUGACCGGUAGGAAAUGAGCUGAUUUCGUGAGCCUAUCGACUAUCACCCAUAUGGAAAUGAAUUUACGAUGAGAAUGAGGUAAACCCGUGAUGAAGUCCAUGUUUAUCGCCUCCCAUUUCCAUGUCGGGAUCUCUAUAGUUUGCAUUAGCCCUCUGGGCUUCUGGUGCUCUAUCUUCACCUGCUAGAAACUAGGGCAUUGAGCGACAUACUCAGCAAUAUUCUUCUUCAUAUCGUUCCACCAAUACACAUCCUUAAUGUCAUGAUACAUCUUCGUCUACCCAGGGUGAAUGGAGUACCACAAAUAAUGUACCUUUGACAUAAUCUUAUCUCGUAGCCCUGCUACAUCUGGAAUGCACAAAUGACCCCUGUAUCUGAGAACCCCGUCUCCCUUGAGUUCUAACAACGACUUCUUCUACUGCGGAACUCGCUCUCUCAACUCGACCAACUCUGGGUCCUCAUACUGCUUCUCCUUUACUUCAGCUAUGAGAGAUGAUUUUGCAGUAUUUUGGAGUACAACUCCACCAUUGCCAGAAUCUACUAACCGAACCCCCAAACAAGCCAAUUGAUGAAUUUCUCUAGUUAAUUGUCUUUUUUCGGCCUCUACAUGUGCUAAGCUACCCAUAGAUCGGCGACUUAAGAUGUUUGCUAUAACAUUAGCUUUCCCUGGGUGGUAGAGAAUGUUAACAUCGCAAUCUUUCAAUAACUCAAGCCAUCGCCUCUAUUGCAAAUUCAACUCGUUUUGCUUCAAGAUAUAUUGCAGGCUUUUAUGAUCUGUAAAUACAUCAACAUGAACACCAUAUAAAUAAUGCCACCAUAUCUUAAGUGCAUGGACAACCGCAGCUAAUUCGAGGUCGUGGGUCGGAUAAUUCCGCUCAUGCUUCCUUAACUGCCUUGAAGCAUACGCAAUUACUUUCCCAUGUUCCAUAACGACACAUCCUAACCCGACACCUGAGGCAUCAUAAUACAUGGCAUAACCAUCUGGACCCUCUGGAAGUGCUAGAAUUGGCGCUGAAGUCAACCUGUUUUAAGCCCCUGGAAACUCCGCUCGCAAGCCUCCGUCCACUAAAACUUAGUUGCUUUCUGCGUCAACUUCGUUAAUGGUGCCAAAAGAGAAGAAAAACCCUCUACGAACCUCCGGUAGUCUCCUGCUAAGCCUAGAAAGCUACGAACCUCUGUUGGAGUGGUAGGUCUAGGCCAGGAUUGCACAGCCUCAAUCUUCUGAGUGUCUACCUUUAUACCUCCGUUGGAUACAACGUUCCCCAAGAAUGCUACAGACUUCAACGAGAACUUACAUUUAGAAAACUUAGCAUAUAAUUUACUAUCACGGAGGGUUUGGAGUACCGCUCGCAGGUGGUCCGCAUGCUCAUCCUUUGAACGUGAAUAAUCCAAAAUAUCAUCAAUAAAGACCACGAACAGAUCUAAAUAUGGCUGGAAUAGGCUGUUCAUCAAGUCCAUAAAUACAGCAGGUGCAUUCGUCAACCCGAAGGACAUGACAAGAAACUUGAAGUGGCCAUAUCGGUUCCAGAAAGCUAUCUUGGGGAUAUCUCUUUCCCGAACUCUAACGUGGUGGUACCCCGACCUCAAAUCUAUCUUUGAAAAGCAUCUAGCUCUCUGCAACUGAUCAAACAAGUCGUCUAUCCUUGGAAGUGGAUACUUAUUUAUUAUAGUUACCUUAUUCAGUUGCCUAUAAUCGAUACAUAUCCUCAGCGAGCCGUCUUUAUUCCACACAAACAGUACCGGUGCACCCCAAGGUGAAGUACUGGGCUUGAUGAAACCUUUCUCCGGUAAAUCUUUUAACUGCUCCUUCAACUCCUUCAAUUCGGCAGGUGCCAUUCUAUACGGAGGCAUGGAUAUUGGUUGAGUUCCCAGAAGCAAAUCAAUGCCAAAAUCAAUCUCUCGCUCUGGGGGAAUACCUGCAAGUUCAUCUGGAAAUACAUCCGCAUUCUCUUUUACUACUGGAAUAGACUAAAGUGUAGGUAUCUUAGUAUCUAUAUCUCUAACUUACAGAAUAUGAUAAAUGCACCCUUCUGUGAUCAUUUUCCUCGCCUUCAGAUAGGAAAUAAGCCUACCUCUGGGUGUUGCUAUAUUACCUACCCACUCAAGGACUAACUCACCCAGAAAAUGAAAUCUUGCUAUCCCUGCUCGACAAUCAACUGUGGCAUAGCAAGCUUUCAACAAGUCCAUGCCCAUAAUAGCAUCAAAAUCCAACAUCUCUAGCUCAACUAGGUCGGCUGAGGUCUCACGACCACAACCUGAUACCAUAUAACCUCGGUAAACCCGUCUAGAAAUAAUUGAUUCUCCGACCGGUGUAGAUACCACAAAAGGAUCACUUAGUAUUUCAGACACUAUACCAAACUUCCGCGCGACAAACAGGGUAAUACAUGAUAAAGUAGAUCCUGGGUCUAUCAAGGUAUAAGCACCGUCAGAGCAAAUGGUCAACAUACCUAUCACAAUGUCUGGUGAGGAUUCCUGGUCCUGUCGACCCGCUAAUGCAUAACUACGAUUUUGGUUACCACCUGAACUGAAACCUCUACCUCUACCUCGACCUCUACCAGCCGAAGACUGAGACUCGCGCCUUGAAGGAUGCAUGGACAUAGAUAAUCCUGUUGCUAAAUUCACUAGUUGCGCCAUACCCCCAGAAUCUCUAUUUAGGCAAUCUUGCACCAUAUGCCCCAAACGUCCACAUGUAUAUCAAGCAUCGGAAUCGGCUCGGCAUUGGCCCAAGAGUCCUCUACCGCAGAUGGCACACUGCGGCAGAAAUGGCCAUGUCUGCCCUGAACCUCGCUGUCACUGCAAACUUGACGCCUGGGAGCUUUCACCUGGUCCUGACUGAGUAUAGCGGUUAUACAUGUAACCCUGUAGCUGAGGUGGUGGAGGUCUAGGUGGUCGUUCGAAGUAUUGGGGCCUGUAACUACCCUGAGACUGCUCCUGAGAGCUGGCAAAUCUCAUCCUCUUAUGCUGCCCUGAGUCCGUCCUCUCCGUACCCUACUGCCGACGCCUACCCCUUUCUAUAUUCUGGGCAAAUGCCUGAAUCCGGGAGAUAUCCAUACUAUCCUGUAAUGCAGUGGUGGCACAUGCCUCAGUCAACUCUAGGGCCAACCCUGCUAUAAACCUUUGGAUUCUAUCCUACAUAGUAGCAACUAUGGAUGGUGCAUAUCUUGCCAAUGAGUCAAAACGGAGACUAUACUCCCGAACCCUCAUAUUGCGCUACUUGAGGGCUAGAAACUGAUCAACUCGGGCCUGUCGGAUCUCUUGCGGUAAGUACUGGUCAAGGAAGGCAUCUAAAAAAUUCUCCCAAAUAGCAGGAGGUGCAUCACGUCCCCUAGACCCUUCUCAUCCCUCGUACCAAAGGAUAGCUGUAUCUCGGAGUUGAAAAGCUGCUAGCUCGACUGCCUCUUUCUCCGUGGCAUGCAUAACCCGAAAGAUCCUGUGAAGCUGAUCUAUGAAANNNNNNNNNNNNNNNNNNNNNNNNNUCAUGCGGGUCCUCCCUCUAAUCUGUCCCCGUGAACUCUGGUAGACUCAAAGCCAUAAACUCUCGGACCCUUGAACUCCCAGAUCCCUCAGAAGGUCCUGCACUAGCAGAUGCCCUAGCGUGUUGUUGGGUAGCUAUCAACUGUGCCAAUAAAUGCACUGCACUCCUUAAGUCCUAGGAAUCUCCUCAGGUGGCGGAGGAGCCGGAAAUGGUUGGGUAGGGGUCUCUCCCUAGGCCUCAGAUUGGGCCCCAUCUACUAGGGGUACCCUGCUAGUCCUCUCACCUACUGUUGUUUCUAUCCUCUAGCUAGCCGUAGUCUUCCUAGUUACCGUCAUUUGUGCAUGCAAACUUCAACACGUAAGUUUAACUCAAAUUUCUUAUAACUCAAUGCUACAUCACGAUUUAGAUUUGAAAGAAGGGUAACCAACUCCUAAAUGCUCUGUAGUCCCCUGCUUAUAUAAUGUGGUGCACGAUACAUCUAUAAACAAGACCCUACUAGAAACGACUUGUUGACUCACUAGGACAGAACUGCUCUGAUACCACUUUUGUCACGCCCCGAGCCUGGCGGCGAGACCGGUACCCGGUGCCUCAUCUAUCCUUGCGUACCAACUUACGACUCAGGAAUUCUGGACAUAUAAUGUCAUACUUUGGCCAGGGACCAUAUUGCAAGAAAAUUUACGAAGCAAAACAUAAAACUGAAUAGAGACUAACGCUGACUAAAUGUCAACAUAAAGCUGGGCCGGUAAGGCCGUCAUAAUUACAACAACUGACAAGCCAACAAAAUAUACGUACAGGGCCUACAAGCCCAACAUACUGCACUAACUGAUAGGAUAUGUCUAUAAGCCUCUACUGAUAGAUGUAUUGUGAUCGGAACAGGGCCCCAACCUACCCAUAACCUAUCUACAUAUAUAGAUGUACACAAAACUUCUAGACCUGGCAACUCCGAAGGACGGGGAGCUUACCGAUAAAGCUGAACUCGGGCAACACCUACUGAGGAGGUCUACAUGUCUGUCUGUCUGAACCUACACGCAUGAAAUGCAGCGCCCCAAGAAAGGGACGUCAGUUCGAAAUAAUGUACCAAAUAUGUAAGGUAAUAUACGGAAAGCUAAAACUGAACUGAUAAUCUGAACAUAUGCUUACCUGCUGAUACUGACUCAACUCUCUUAAUAUAGUAAAUAAAAUAGCUGCCCGGCCCUUUAAGGCUUGGUAUAUAUAUAUAUAACUGCUCUACCGUAGUAGGCUCACUCAUAGGCACUCGCCCAUACUAGGCUCUGUAUCUCGACCAACUAGGCUCGCUCACAGACGCUCGACCACAGUAGGCUCGGUAUAUAACUUACCAUCUGAUCAGAGGUUUUCCAAUAGGGGCCUGCCCAUCGAUUAUAGCUCGAUGGUAAUAAAAAUACUAUAAUAUUAUAUAUAUAGACUCUCUGCUCUCUUGACUGAAAGAAGGAAAUACUCAAUUGAAUAUUGUACUUUCUGGAAAUGAGUCUGCAAAUCAUGCCAAGUUACCCUUUGAACUUGUUCAACAUGAUGUGAGGCCUUGGAAAAAGUAUUCAUGUUACCCUUAUUGACUAUUUAUUCUUGAACUUGGUUGUUUUUAUGAAAAUUUCCCUAGUGAUUUUCACUACUAAAAUAUGCACAUACUAAGACCGCGAAGAACUUGUUACUUCCUAGGCGACAUGCAACUUCGAGUAAUGCCACAAAUAAUAUAAAAUUAGUAGAGUAUUAUUGGAUAUGUAUUUAAUUAAUUCAAACUCAAGAUUAAGCCCAACUCCUUAUCAAACAAAAGUUGUGGUUUGAAUGAUUUACCUUAUUAAAUAUACGUAAAUUUUGGGACUUGAUUUUUUCUUUAUACCUCGUUAUCAAACUUGUGUAAUUACGAGAUCAUGCCAAAAUGAAGGAAAAGCUUAGCCUUAAUAUACCUAAAUUAGGAAAAAGUCCAUAUGAUGUUCUUGAAAAAUAUUGCACCGUUCUCCUUUAGAACCGCAAAAUUUUACGUUGCUAUGGUUCUAACAAUUCUUGUUGGAAUUGUUUGGUUGCAAGUAGUCACGUUGAAAACUUACAAGAAUUCACUUCUGAUUGUAACAUUGUUUUGUAUUGGAAUUUUUAGAAUUGAAAUGUCUUGUACUCAUAAUCCUAGAAUGAAGUGUUGCUAACGUUCUGAUGAAGUCUUUCAAAUAUGAAGUGUUGUUUUCAAAUUACUCUUACAAGUCUUGUUAUUCAAAAUGUAAGAAUGAGGUGUCUUUUAAUUAUUAAUUAGGUUGCCACCUAAUCCAAAAAUGACUGGGAGUCACUUGUUUGGAAUGUGGCUUGCUGCCACGUAAUCCCUUUGUUGGGGAAUUUAAACUUUAUCCAAUAACCAAUUAGGUAGUAUCUCGCUACCCGAUAAUUAACCAAUUACCCGCAUAAUUAAGAAUUGUCUCAAAUUACUUAAAAUUUUACUUAUUUUUAACACACUUUAUACAUCACACUAUCACGGUCAUAUGGUACCUUGUAUGGUACUAGUCCAUAAGUAUCGGUAUUAGAGCUCGGACCGUAUUUCAUCCCAAAUCGGCAACCUUCAACGAAACUCAUUUUUUUAAUUCGUCUACCCUUUAUCUUUUAUGGCACUUACUUACCGCUUGUUAUAAAUAGCAUAAAUACGUUAAUUUCAAGAUCAUCUCAUCACCGAGUCUACGUCAAUUAACUGAAGACGAAACUUUUAACGUACGAAAAUGCGAGAUGUAACAGAGACGAUUGAGCUUAGCUGAGACUGAAGCUCCUCAACUUUUUAGGCCCGCUCCUCGAAGUUGGACCUCAAACGAAGUCAGCUGCACCCGAGCAGUCUCCUUUUCUGAGGCCAGACAGUCCAUCCUGCCUCUCCAUUCUUCAGCCUCGACCUUUACUACAUCCAUCUCAGCUUGGAGUUGGUCGAUUCGAUCGAUAUUCUGUUGGACCUGCGAAUUCUGACCAUUAGUCACCGAGUCUAGCUCAUCGUCACUAACUUCAAAUAAUUUUAUCUAUUCGACCAGGUCGGCAUGCUCCCUCCAGGCCACCUCCAGCUCAGCUUGGAGGCUCUUAGCCUCUCCUUCACGCUACUCGCUGAAAAGUUUGUAAAUAUCUCUCUUCUCAGUGAGCCCUCGGACCUCGGCCUCAAGCUGGUUCAGCUUAUCCUAAUAUCGAAGAAAAGUUUCAUGAUAAAGCACCGAGGCCUACAGAAACAGAACAAUGUUAGGGUUAUCUACGAAUUAGUCUAAGUACAAGUUAAAGUCAUCAAGAAAUAUCUGAAAUUAUCCGAUUUAGCGCCUGUCAUGCUUCGUUGAAUAGGCAGGGCGCAUCUACCUCGUUCAUCUUGGCUUGGUCUUCCUCAGUCACCAGACACUGAAGGUAGCUGGCCACCCCUACGGGGGCGGAGAAGACCCGGGCAUCCUCCGAAAUAGAGAUGAUGAUGGAUCGCUUUUGGUCAAGAUCCACGCUCGGAGCCGGGAACCGGUUGAUCAAUUUCGGGCUUAAGGAAGGCCCGCUUGUUCCCGAAGAUGGACUCUUCUUUGGUACCUCUAAGUCACCCAAUCUGGUGACGUACCUCCGUGGCGGUAGAAUCCACGCCAUCAAAAAAGCCGCAAAAGGGGUCGUCCUCUCCAUGGGCCCCCUCGUUGGGACGUUCUUUCACCGUUUGAGCCUCGUUAUACAUGCACUCGGUGAAUGAGGGUGACUCAGUGAUGUCUAUCAAACCAUGUACUUCCUUCGGGACAUUGCCUGCAUCCCGGGAAGCCUCGGCCCCUACCUUCUUGUCGGCCUCCCUAACCUGAGGCAGAUCGACCUUGACUCUCUCCGGUUCGGAGGCCCUUAGCCCUUCGAGUUGCGGCAGCACGCGGGCCAUCAGAUCGAACGCUUAACCUUCUUCUUCCGAUUCGUCCCUCAACCGAUAGAGUGAAUCUAAAUAUGGUGCUCGAGCGCUGGUGCUUUCUUUAGACUUGUGCACCAGCCUUCUCCUUGUUUUCUUCUUCUCCGAGCUCGGAGAACUCGGAUCGCUCUUUCUUUUCUUCUCUUCGGCCUGUCUCGGAGCGGUGGACUCGGUAGGUAAGUCCUCGCUACCAGCUGGAGGCCAUAGUUUGACAUCCUUGGAUAAACCUGGGAAAAGAAAUAAAACAAGUGAGAACUUAAUGACGCAAGAGGAACCCAAGAGAGAAGAAUAUGACUCAAUUAUCGUUAAAACUGAUGGUAUCCUUGGGUGUAUUUAAUAUGUUUCUCAUCUCCUGUUAUGUGUUCCUGAUGAUCCACGUUAAAGUAUGGCAGCUAGUGAAAAUGGACGUUUUCGUGUACCUUAUAUAUGCGGUAAAUUAAUUUUUCCUAUAUAGGGUGUAGAAAUCUCGCAGAUCAAUGUUGGCAAAAAGAAAUGGGUGGAGUAAUAAAAUAUGAGUCUGUUGACUGUUUAAUAGUGUGUACUUAAUUAGAUAUUGUCUUAAUCUAUAUUUUGUAUGUGACUCUUAUAUGGCAUUUCAAAAAUAUACCGAAAAGUAACCGAUCCGUACAGAAACCGAAGAGAAAUUGAGAUGACUCAAGAUGGUUUUGAAAAGUCUAAUUUUGAUUACACACAAUAGAAUAAGCAAAAAAUGGUAUGGUCUAUAUUUUAUAAAAUAACUGACCGAACCGAACCAUUAACACCCCUAACUUUACAUAUAUUUCAUACGAGUCAAAAUAUUUUAAUCAUUUAAUUUCAAAAACACCAAAAAUACUUGCAUACUUUAUCCGCACAUAAUUUAUUACAUAUAUAAUUUCGUUAUUGUUCAUUCUAGUACACGUUAAUAAUUCUUUUAUUUUUUGUAAUAGUUUUGAGUAUUUGCUAAUUAUCUUUGAACCUUCCCUCCUUUAUUUGAUCGAGUCCACCAAAAUCAUAUUUUUGUGGAUCUUGAGGGAUGCCUAACACCUUCCCCUCAAGAUAACUUGAACCCUUACCUAGAAUCUCAAACAUUUUGCAAAUCAUAGUUAAAGUGUAUAUUAUGUAGUAUAGUAUAAGUAUCCUAGUAUACCUUAAAUAUUAGGUGGCGACUCUAAAUAAUAAUUAACCUUGUAGAGUACUAUAAGUUGUACAUUAUUUUGACUUGUGCAAAAUAGGGUGCAACAAGAUGGCGACUCUGCUAGGGAUACUUCAAGUUCUAACCACAGCGAAUUUGAUCAAAUACUUUAGGGAUUACAGGUUCUCCAAUACUCCAACUUCUAUUCUUUAUGUCACAUGUUUCAAGUCAUAUAUUAUUUGCUUCAAUUUGUAUAUUCUUCACUUUAAGGUGUAUAUUCUUUGCUUCAACUUGUAUAUCUUUCGUCACAUGCUUAAAGCAGCCUAUUCUUUGUUAUGCGCUUCAAGCGGUAUAUCCUUUUUCAUAUGCUACAAGUCGUGUAUUCUCUGUCAUGCGCUUCAAGUCGUGUAUUCUUUGUCAUGUGCUGGAAGUUGUAUAUUCUUUGUUACGUGCUUCAAGCCACAUAUUCUUUGUCAUGCUCUUGUUGUAUAUGCUUUUAUGCAUACCCAUGUUGUAUAUACUUUCACAGAUGCCCAUGUUGUACAUUCUUGGUCACAUGCUUUUGGUGCUGCCUUAUCAAAUUGUCUUCACUUUUCUAUCGACUCUUGGUCAUACACAAUCACACACAAGUUACGUGAGGGUUGUCUUUUCACCUCUCUGAACCUUCUUGCAAAACUCUCUAGUUUCAAAGAUCGGCAUACGAGGUUAACUAUGUACCAUCUCGCAGUUGUCCUUAACUCAUGCUCAAAUAUAGGUAAAUCUACUCUUAGAAUUCCUAGGUCACUGUACAUAUGAUCUUGCAACUUUCUUUAGCUGGAUUAAUUGUUACAUACCCUUUGCUCGCUACCUAUUCUUUGUCCGAUGUACAUUCUUCAUCUGGUAUGCAUCCUUCAUCUGCUACAUAUGUCUUCUACUUGUUAUCCACAAUAGCUUCUCUUUGCCUCACUAAGCUCUGGUUGACUUGUGUUGAACCUUGACCUUUCAAAUACACAUACCAAUUCUGGUAUUCAUGACCAUCCAUUACAAUCAUACCAUUCUUUGGACUCUACCAUCCUUUUCCAAACAUACAUCAAUUCAGCUUGGUACAUCUUUCACUGAUUUGAUGUAUUUGUCACGACCCCAAUUUCCCUCCGUAAGAUGUCAUGAUGGAAACUAGUCUCUAAGACUAGGUAAGCCUAACAUUCAUAUAGAAAUGAUAAAUAUAAGUCUCAAAACUCAGCAACUAUAAUCAAUAAACUCUGUGACACAGUAUAUAAAACUCCCGAGACCCGCUGAAUACAACUCACAAGCUAUAAAUAGAAGUACUGCAUGAUCCUAUACAUUAAUAUCUAUAAAAGGAUAAGGAAAAUAGAACAGUCACGGUAGAGGGGGACUCUGAGGCCUGCGGACGCCGUCAGGUAUACCUUGAAGUCUCCGCAGCUAAACUCUCGCUAAUGCCUGGGCUGGUAGGAGAUACCUGCAUCUGCACAAGCGUAGCAUGAGUAUACCAUAACGGUACCCAGUAAGUGCCAAGCCUAGCCUUGGUAGAGUAGCGACGAGGUCAGGUCAAGGCCCUACUGGAAUAAAUAAGAAGACAGAACAAGUGUAAGGCAUUGUAAUAAUGACUAUAAUGAAAUAGAAACAAUAAAUAACAUAUCAAGGUUAGCUACACGGAACUAAAGCAAUUAGUGCAACACGGAGAAAAAUAAUUAAUAAUAUGCUAAGGAUCUCAGCAAUAGGUGCAGCAAUAGAUGAGGAACCCUCUACAAAUCGACGUUAAUAACCUGCCAAACCAAGAAAACUCUAGAUCUCAGUAGCCGGGACGCAAGUCCUUUCUUCAAACAUUUGGCUACAGAGUCAUGGUGUUCACUCCCACUUCCCAAAUUCAAAUAUUCAAUACAAGUCAACCCAUUUUGCUACAGAGGCAAGUUGUUAGUCAGCCUUCGAGAAGUGUCAUGCCCGCACGAUUCAAAUUAACAAAGAAGAACAAGCAAAGCUUUGAUUCAACACAAACGAUUCCCCUCCCUGAAAUCUAAGAACUUUUCUUUGGACACACGAAGGACAACAUCUCUGAAACCAUCAUGGAAAGUUGACAUCGUAUUUUCAAUCACAACCGGACACGCUACUAGAAGCACGACCUAUCUCUGCACCCUCUUAAUUUUAUAACUUCACCUAAGAGGAACUCUAACAUUUUCACCUCCGGGUUUUGUAGGAAUAUCAUCCUUGGCACUUCACGAGAGAUAUCAUAUGGACUUGGACUUGGUGGAUCAUCAGUCAAAUAAUGAGGGGAGUAGUAGUUUUACUAUGAACUCUAUCAUUUUUUAUGACUUUGCUACUCUCACCACUUUUCUAUAUUCUAAUCAUAACAUCGUUCCCGAUUGUCAACCAGAGACGAUCAUGAAAUGGUUUCUAUGGACGGCCCAAAGGUGCAUCAUCCUGGGACUGCACGAGAAAUAGCAUCCAACAUCGGACAUUGUGGAACAUCAACCAAACAAUCAGGGGAGUGUUGCUUAUAAUUCUUAAUUCCUUCAUUUUAUGACGACACUACUCUCACCAUAUUUCUAUAUGUGCAUCAAAUAAUCACCCCGGCUAUCACCAAAAAGUUUCUGUGGACAGCUGGAAGGUCGCAACUAAACUUCCCUGCAGUCAAUUGGGAGACAACUACAACAACUAUCUCGCAAACAGUCAGGGGCAUCGAAGCAAUUGUUUGAAGGAGCAACUGGGGCACAUCUUCUGGAGGGAAUCACUCUUCAACUCCAGAGAUACCAUGUUACACCCCAUGUUUCCGUACAUAAGAGUACGUCAUAAGUCAAUUGAUGUAAGUUCAGAAAUGAGAUCAUCUUUGAAAAGUUAAUAAAGUAAGUUAAUCAUGUAACCGUGGACGUUACAAAUAUUAAGAUCACGAAUACCAUGUAACAAGAUGGUUGGAAGGCUUAGAAGCUAAACGAAUUAAAGAAAAUAAGUUUUGUCAAAAGUCGACAAGUUGGGAAUGUUAUAGCAUAUACUUCUGGGGUGAGACUAUGGUGCUUAACUGUAUAAUGAGGUUAUGUUAUAAGUUAUUUUAUCCGUAUGAUAGUCGUGUUUUAUGUUUUGUAGUCAAGCGAGUUGUGGAACAAAAGUUGGCAAAGGUCAUCACAAGUUACAUUCAUAAAUGUGCUGAAAUAUAGGUCAAAUAUAGCUGAGCUUUUCUACCAAUAUACUUGGAAUUUUGGGGUGAUCUACUUACCAAAUUGAAUAUCUAUGAGUCUAUUUUCUAACACAUUUAACCGUUUGUCAAUACGACAUUGUAUUAGAGAGAUAUUUGCAUUUUUUCAAGACUGCACAAGCAGCUCCCAUGGGACCCACAAAGUCGGUGUAAAACUCCAGCCCGUAUCUAAGUCAGUUCUAAGUUGUUUUAACUCAUAUUUCUCGACCACCAAAGUUCCUAAACCCUCCUAGAUGCUCUCCUAGAGUUCAUCCAUGAUUCUAUAGUGAAAACCAAAGAUAAAAACAUGAAUCCAAUGCAAAAUAUUCUGUUGUGCUUGCUAGAUCAUAGUUUUUCAUCUUGUGGCUAUUUUGGAGGGUUCUUCAAAGUGAAGUAACCUCAGGUUUCUUGUUGUUCUUGUUGAUUAAGGUAAUAAUCAGUCCCUCCUUCAUAUAUAUUAGAUUUUAAAGGUGAACUACAAGUGUUUAUACACCAACUUGAACACCAAAAGUUGAUUCAAGAAGAGAAUACAACACCUAUAGUGUUGUGGUGUCAUUGAGGAUAGUUGUGGCCUGUGCUUGGCUGAAAUUUUGUUGUACUUGUUGUUGUUGUUAGAUUUUUGGGCUAUUUGAUGGUGAAUUAGGAGAUGAAUAGGAGGAUAGAAGUCCUCCCAUUGUACUUAAUAUCAUUCUGACUAUGUCAUUAAGUUAAUGAAUGAAUGACUUUGGGAUUAAAGAGUUCAAAAGAGAUUCAAUCUGAGCUUGUCGUUUAUCGUGUUAAAUAGUAGUUUCGUUGGUGAUGUUUAUGCACUUGUUGUUGUGUAGAUUGAUUUAUGUUGUGGUGCGGAAAUUAUAUAGGUGAAGGUUGUAUGGGUUCGUGUUGGUUGAUGGACUUGGUAAUGUAAGGAAAACAGUGGAGAUGCUUCCCAUUUUAAUAUAAAAAUAAGCUUGUCGUUCGUUGAACGAUAGUUGCAUCUUUCGUAGCUUAACGAUAGCAUUAUUAUCGUUACUGUAGACUGAAGUGCGGCGAGAGAAGUUCAACGUGGUUAUCGGACAUAUUGUGAUAAGGUAUGUUAAGGCACUUCCUUCUUUCUUUUGGCAUGAUCUAAAGUGGAAUGAUCAUAAACGAUACGCUAUUUCAUAAUGGAUCUACUCCUAGCAACUAAGACUGUAAAUGUUGUUAUUUCCUUAUAAAGUUAUUCUAAGCAAGUAUGUAUGAUCCUUGAAUCCUAUUGAGGUUCAUAUUGAUGGUAUGGAUAUCCAUAAUGUUAAUCAAAGGUACGAAGACCCUACGUCACUCCAAAGGGUUUAGAACGUGAUUCCAUGAGUCCAGUAUGCAUUAUAUAUAUGUACCUAUUUUACUCUACCGAGCCAUGCUAUAGUUGGCCGGGUACGACACCUACUAUACAACCACUUAUCAGUUGGGUUUUACCGAGCUCCACGUGGCCGGGUAUGAUUCUAGCAAGCCUUAUGAUUGCCGGGUAUGUUUUUACCGCGCCUAUUAUGGCCGGGUACGAUAUAAUGAUGAUGAUGCCCACAGAGGCGUAUGUUUUUAAAAGUUUAUGUAUAUAUAUAGAUAUAUCAUGCAUUUCAUGUCAGUAGCCCUCAGAGGCACUCAGAUGUUACGUGUCGUAGCUUCUCUAUCUCUCUUUGCAUUACUAUUCUUAUUUAUGUUGUAUUGCCUUACAUACUCGGUAAUUUAUUCGUACUGACAUCCCUUUACCUGGCGACGCUGCGUUUCAUGCCCACAGGUCCCGAUAGACAGGUUGGCAGUCCUCCUAGUAGGCUAUUAGCUCAGUAGAAGGCACUCCACUUGCUCCGGAGAUGCAUAUUUUGUCAGUAUGAUUUGGACAUGUAUUGAUUGGUAUGGCGGGGCCCUGUCCCGACCUUUAUGACGUUUAUGUACUCUUAGAGGCUUGUAGACAGAUGUCAUGUAUAUGGAUGAUUGUAUGACCUUGUCGGCCUAUGUUUUGAAUGUACAAUUGAUCAUUUCGAUCUUAUAGACCCGUAUGUCACAUGUAUAAGUUUUUAUACCAUGUUGGGUCAUCCUAUGUCUAGUAUUCUCUUAUGUUUUAAUCUGGCUAUCUCAUGACGGCCUUUCUGGAUCAUUUACCCAUGGCGGUGUGCUAAGAAAUAUACAUUACGUUGGUACUCGAUUGAGUAAGGCACCGGGUGCCCGUCGCAGCCCUCUGAUUUGGGUCGUGACAAAUGUGGUAUCGGAGCAGUUCUGUCCUUGGGAGUCUACAAGCCGUUUCUAGUAGAGUCUUGUUUAUGGGUGUGUUGUGCACCACACUUAUAAGUAGGAGGCUACAGGGCAUUUAGGACUAUCACUCUUUGUUAUUACUCUAGAUCGUGUGGUAGAGCUCAGUUGUAAGAAUUCAAACUCUUAAAUUCUACUUUAUGCGUAAUACAACAAUACCUACAUCUAGAAAGACAAUUGGUAAGAGAUUGAAUGUGGUUGUGCAAGAGUUGAGUCGGAGGAAAUCAAUUUUGCAUCAUGCUCAUGAUGAGUAAAUGUAAGGUCUUCAGUAGAUCAUGUGUGUACUAAGACGUGUAAUCUUCUUGAUAACGAGCCCUAAAGCAUGAAUAUGUAUCCACCCAUACGGUUUAAAAAGCAAAAAGAGAAUCAAAAGAUAGAUACAAGUUUCAACAAGUAAAAGAAGCAAGGUGAAGAAGGGUAUGAGGUACCCAAUUAGUGAAGAUUAUCAGUAUUUACAAUUCAGGCAGAGAAAUAUAAGCAUUCUGAGUUACUUUCAAUAGUAAUAGAGAUAUAUACACUUGACAACACCCAUCUCACUUAUGCCCUAUGGGAGCUAACAGAUAUAGUUUAAGAGAAGGAUGGGACAUCAGGAUCCAGUUGGGGUUAGAUUAACCUAAAAUGGUGGAUGGAUUGUUAGCAUUAGCUGACAUUUCCAAAGGAUAUCACAAACGUGGCAAUAUUUCUCCUUGUGAGACACCUAGAUGGUGCACUCUAGAAUAGUAUAAUUAGAUAUGAAUACAAGAAUUUUCAGAAAAUUCAAAAGAUAGGCACUGGAAUCCAAGAAGGGAUAAAUAUUUACCUUACUAUGGCUCCCAUCCCUAGUUAAGAGAGAAUGUUAGGUGACCCGAAGAGCCAGUGAGAUGGUGCAAGGGGAGCUAAAAGCGAAAAAAUAUUUUGUUGAAGUUUUCAGAAUAAGGUGAUACACAGAAAUACUAACAGGAGAAUAAGAAGAGUGUAAAUGAAGCAUUAUGAGUAAGAUCUGAUAAAUGGGUGAUAACGGUAAAGUAAAGAGUAUAAGCGAUAAAGUCAUAUCCUCAUUUCGAGAAAUGAGUUGGUGACUCCAAUGUGAUUACCAAAAUGAAAAGUUAGACCCCUGGAGUAAUAGAAAUUAGUAUGGAAUAGUGAACAAGAUACACUGAACAUGAAUUCGGGACCGAAGGAUUUGAUAAUAGUUGACAUCGUGAGAAUUUCAGAGAUCACGUUCCGGCGGUAAUAGAAUGGACAACAGAAGAAUAACCUUUAAAGGUCAUUUAGGAAGGCGCUUCCCUAAAACAAGCACUGUGAGCAGAGUUAAGCUUAAGGUACUAAGUGUGCCAGUUACACUAGGUGUCACCAUCGUGCGUAAGAAAUUCAGCUAUCCCUGGUACAGAAGGGUUACCGCAUGGCUAGUAAGAGUCAGUGAAGAUGUGAAUAGACCUCAAAGUGUAAGAGGUAAAGCAUUUAUACGUAAAUCUUCAUAGCAUUAAAUGUUAGUAUUCCCCUAAAGGGAGAAAGAUGGUGUGAUUUGGUAUUAAGUCGGACUUAAGUGGUUCAGGUAAAUAUAGAAUGGUAAAGGAAGAAUGUGUUAUAAAGGCAAAAGGAAUGAGAUUGCAUUUACUCAGAUCAUAUAGAUAUGUCACGACUCUUGAACGAUAUGCAAGCAUGAUGCUGGUAAGAUGCAAUAAGGGUUCCCGACAAGGAUGUUAAUUGGUAAAUAAGUGCGAAUAGACACUUGAUACAUAAGGAGCCAGUGCGAGAGGUAAGUUAAGAGAGAAAAAAUAACCCAAGAGGGGUUAUGCUGAAUACAGAUAUGAGAAUGGACCAAUGAGUAGUCUGUAGUUGAUUCAGGAAGAGUCUAGUGAUGGAUAGACAAAAGGUCACAGAUAAAUCAACAGAUUAUGCAAGAUAAAUGUAGUGAACCCUAGCAUAGGGAAUUCAGUCUCGCAGACAUGAGAUCGCAAUCCUUGAAAAAGUUUAAGAUAGGAGUUGGGGUAGUUAAAGGUACCGUUAAAGUUUUACGAAAAUAAGAGAGAGUGCCACUAAGGAGACAAUCAAAAUUUGUGAUCAGAAGUAACCCUACGAGCGCAAGGACACGGAGGUAUGUAACUAAGGAUAUUUAUUGGCUAGUAAGAACAUCAAAAAUUUUGUUAGGUAUACGAUGUAAUAAACUCACAACUUUACAAGAGUCAGAGGGUCUCCCUUAAGUUCUACAACGAAAGACUAGUUGAGGAAAUAAGGAAAAACGUUUCUACCUAAGCAUAGUGACCUAGAGAAAUAAUGGUCUUGUUACAACAGUCUCACUACAAUAUCAUAUGCACUCUAUAAGAAAGUGGCACCUAUAGUGACUAAUGAACGGGAAGUAAAUUCAAAAGUAAUAUUCAAGAUCAUAUGGGUUGCAUGGAUUUCCAAUAUGUGUGGGCACUAAGAGAAGUAUUCAUGCAAAAAGUGGCAGAACGACCAGGAAAAGUAAUUGCGUACAUUUAAAGACAACUGAGAAGGCACGAAAGGAAAUCUAUGGUACUAGCAAUUAAAAGGAAGAUUGCGAGUAGUAUAAAUAGAUAUGUGCAGGUCGCAAGCUAAAGUAUGGUAGAGCGACAAGGUUUUAGGUAGAUAGGAGUAAGGAUAAGAAAAGGUGAGUGAGAAGGUGACAACAAUAGGUAAUGCCUCGGAAUUAAGCCCAUCAAAACAAGAGAGUUAAUGGUUUUCGUAAGUUAUAGAAAGCUCAGUAUAGCCUGAAUGAACUGAAUGGAGUUUAAAACUAGGAGCAUUUAGAAGAGAUGGAAUGCUGCCCUGGUCAUAAUGUAAGGGUGUAUUUGUGAUAAAUGAUAAGAGGAUGAUUCUUAGGCCUUCGAUUGAUUAAUGAUUCAAAGAGAAGAGAUUUCAUAAAUUUCAUGGGAUUAGAAUAACCCCAUAAGAUGAAUCGCGUUGAGAUUCUAUGAAAUACGGUUAUUGAUGUAUAGUAUCGUCCCUAGAUGGAUCAGGCAAAUAACUUCAGAUGUUCCCCAAUGACAAGUGAGCCCUAGUAACAAUGUAUUACGUACAAAGUUUUAAGUUAUCAGUUGUAGAUUACAGAUCAACAUUAAGGUGAAUCAAUAAUGGUUGGAUAAAAGUUACAAAGUAUGAGAUGAAAUUAGGCCGUCAUUCUUAAGGUGAACAGUAAUGAGAAAGCAUUAAAAGACUUAUGUAUAUAUAUAUAUAGGAUAAGCACCGAGAGAGUAGCUUGGAUUUGGGUAGCAGACCUCGGUAAUAAUAAACCAAAGUAAGUUUUAUGGUAUAGUAUGACCUACCUAGAUGCAGUAAAGGUACAAGGAUAGACAACUGAGGCUAUGAAACAAAAUAAAGCAAUAAUCGUAAGUUAGACAAAGUACCGAGCGAAGAACAUCAGUACACCUAUAGAUGCCUAUAGGGACAACUUAUCAUAGUUCUGCAUAUGUUCACAAAGGGAGGCCUAGAGAUUGGCUAAAAGAUGGAGGACAAAGGAGAGAAGAGUCACAUAGGCGCACAUAUAAGGACAGGGUCGUACAGUCUGCAUGACAUAAGGUAGCAAUAGUUAUGAGAUUAGAAGAAUUCCGAUCACAAGUCGUGGUGUAAGAAAGAGGCCUAAAUGGGGAAAUGCCCUGGUAUUUGGAUUUAUUCACAUAACAGUUGCCUAGAUGAAAAGAAUUGUAGUAAAGUAUUCAUAAGAUCUAUAGGUUAUGAGACUGAUAAGAGCAUCAGUCAACAUUCGAAGACGAAUGUUCCUAAGGGGGGAAUCAUAUUACACUCCAUAUUUUCGUACAUAAGAGUACGUCGUAAGUCAAUUGAUGUAAGCUCAGAAAUUAGAUCAUCUUUGAAAAGUUUAUAAAGUAAGUUGAUCAUGUUACCGUGGACGUUACAAAUAUUUAAGAUCACGAAUACCAAGUACCCAGAGGGUUGGAAGGCUUAGAAGCUAAGCGAAUUGAAGAAAAUAAGUUUCGUCGAAAGUCGACAAGUUGGGAAUGUUAUAACAUAUACUUUUUGGGUGAGACUAGGGUGCUUAACAUUAUAAGGAGGUUAUGUUAUCAGUUAUUUUAGUCUUAUGAUAGUCGUGUGUUAUGUUCUAAAGUCAAGCGAGUUGUGGAACAAAAGUUGGCAAAGGUCAUCACAAGUUACAUUCAUAAAUGUGCUGAAAUUUAAGUCAAAUGUAGCUAAGCUUUUCUCCCAAUAUACUUGGAAUUAUGGGGUGAUCUAUUGACCAAAUUGAAGAAAUACGAGAGUAGUUUCUAAUAUAUUUAACUGUUUGUGGAUACGGCAUUAGAUUAGAGAGAUAUUUGCAUUUUUGCAAGACUGCACAAGCAGCUCCCAUAGGACCCACAAAGUCGAUGUAAAACUCCAGCAUGUAUUUAUGUCAAUUAUAAGUCGUUUUAACUCAUUUUUCUCCACCACAACAGUUCCUAAACCCUCCUAGAUGCUCUCCCAGUGUUCCUCCAUGAUUCUAGAGUGAAAAUCAAAGAUAAAAACAAGAAUCCAAUGCAAAUUAUUCCGUGGUGCUUGCUAGAUCGUAGUUCUUCAUCAUGUGGCUAUUUUGGAGGGUUAUUCAAAGUGAAGUAACCUCAGGUUUCGUGUUUUUCUUGUUGAUUAAGGUAAUAAUCAGUCCCUCCUUCAUAUAUAUUAGAUUUUAAAGGUGAACUACAAGUGUUUAUACACCAACUUGAACACCAAAAGUUGAUUCAAGAAGAGAUACAACACCUAUAGUGUUAUGGUGUCAUUGAAGAUAGUUGUGGGUUGUGCUUGGCUGAAAUUUCGUGUUUUUUAUACUGGUUAAGGUUAGUAUAACAUCCUACUAUAUUUCCUUGAAGUUUUUUGUGUGUUGGUGGCAUUAUUUGAGCAAAAAACAAGAGAAGACUUGAAAUAGUUUGAGAUGUUAUUGUUAUUAAUGGACUGUUUUUGAAAGGUUGUUUCCAUGAAUUAUAAAUGGUUGGAAACCCUUGAAAAUGACUCUCUUAUGAUGUUGUUAUUAUAAAAUAUUGUCUAUAUAUCGAACAUGUUGUUGGCACUGUGAGUAGGAAGAGAAAGGACAACAUAACAAUGGAAAGUUGUACUUGUGGUUGUUGUUAGAUUGUUGGGUUAUUUGUGGGUGAAUUAGGAGAUGAAUAGGAGGAUAGAAGUCCUCCCAUUGUACUUAAUAUCAUUCUGGCUAUGUUGUUAAGUUAAUGAAUUAAUGAUUUUGGGGUUAAAGGGUUCAAAAGGGAUUCAAUCUGAGCUUGCCGUUUGUGGUGUUAAAUAGUAGUUUCGUUGGUGAUGUUUAUGCACUUGUUAUUGUGUAGCUUGAUUUGUGUUGUGGUGCUGAAAGUAUAUAGGUGAAGGUUGUAUGGGUUUGUGUUGGUUGAUGGACUUGGUAAAGUAAGGAAAACAUGAGAGAUGCUGCCCAUUUUAAUAUAAAAAUAAGCUUGUUGCUCAUUGUACGAUAGUUGCAUCUUUCGUAGCUUAACGAUAGCAUUAUUAUCGUUAUUGUAGAUUGAAGUGCGACGAGAGAAGUUCAACGUGGUUAUCGGACAAAUUGUGAUAAGGUGUUAAGGCACUUCCUUCUUUUUUUUUGGCAUGCUCUAAAGUGAAAUGAACAUAAACGAUACGCUAUUUUAUAAUGGAUCUACUCCUCGGAACUAAGACUGUCCAUGUUGUUAUUUCCUUAUAAAGUUAUUCUAAGCAAGUAUGUAUGAUCCUUGAAUCCUAUUGAGGUUUAGUUUAAUGGUAUGGAUUUCCAUAAUGCUAAUCAAAGGUGCGACGACCCUACGUCACUCCGAAGGGUUUAGAACGUGAUUCCAUGAGUCCAAUAUGUAUUAUAUAUAUAUAUAUAUAUAUAUACAUAUGAAUCUAUUUUACUCUAUCGAGCCGCGCUAUAGUCGGCUGGGUACGAUACCAACUGUGCAACCACUGAUCAUUUGGGUUUUACCGAGCUCCACGUGGCCGGGUACAAUUCUAGCAAGCCUUUUGAUGGCCGGGUAGGUUUUUAUCGAGCCUAUUUUGGCCGGGUACAAUAUGAUGAUGAUGAUCACAGAGGCCUAUGUAUUUAAAAGUUUAUGUGUAUGUGUGUGUGUGUGUGUAUAUAUAUAUAUAUAUAUAUGUAUGUAUCAUGCAUUUCAUGUCAGUAGCCCUUAGAGGCACUCAGAUGUGACGUGUUGUAUCUUCUCUAUCUCUCUUUGUAUUACUGUUCUUAUUUAUGCUUUCCUACCUUACAUACUCGGUACUUUAUUCGUACGGAUGUCCCUUUGCCAGGGGACGCUACGUUUCAUGCCCGCAGGUUCCGAUAGACAGGUUGACAGUCCUCCUAGUAGGCUAUUAGCUCAGCGGAAUGUGUUGGUGCACUCCACUUGCUCCGGAGUUGCCUAUUUGGUCUGUAUGAUUUGGACAUGUAUUGAUUGGUAUGGUGGGGCCCUGUCCCAACCUUUAUGACGUUUAUGUACUCUUAGAGAUUUGUAGACAGAUGUCAUGUAUAUGGAUGAUUGUAUGGCCUUGUUGACCAAUGUUUUGAAUGUACAAAUGAUCAUUUCGAUCUUAUAGGCCCGUAUGUCACAUGUAUAAAUUUGUAUACCAUAUUCGGUCAUCCUAUGUCGAGUACUCUCUUAUGUUUAAUUUUGGUUAUCUUGUGACGGCCUUUUCGGCUCAUUUACCCAUGAUAGUAUGAUAAGAAGGAUACGUUACAUUGGUACUCGUUUGAGUUAGGCACCGGGUCCCCGUCGCGGCCCUUCAAUUUGGUUCGUGACAUACCACACCCAAUCAUGGGUACAACGAAGCAUCCCUCUAAGUUUGUCUAUACUCUUGCACUUCAUACAUAUAUGUGAUGCAGUUAAUGUUGAUAAUUGUAAUUCCUCCAAAAUAGGAGAGUAAAAGAAGCGUUGAAAACCAUACACCUUAUACUCUCCAACCUUCACGAACUAGGCGGACCUGAUUCUUAACCUCGUGUCAAGAUACGUAGGCAACCUAUAAUGGGUCCGAUUUUUCUCGUCCUUAACUGGAUAAAUCGGCCAAGUCUAGCCACUUGGGUCACAGUUGAAUGAAAAUCCUUACGAAAGGAUCAUCUCCAAAAAGUAUCAUCAAAAUUAAACAUAUAUAUACCUUCCUCAGUUUCUUCUCCAUAAGUCUCUUCGUAAGACAUCAAAAUCCAAAAUACUUUCCUCUUUCCUUGAGGAAAUUCAAAAAAAUCGAAAAUAUCUUUCCUCUAUCUCUAAUCUUCCCGAACUACGCCUGACUUGAUUCUCGUUUCGACGAGAUACGUAGGCAACCUGCGGGUUCGAUCAUAUUUUUCAAAAAAAAAAUCAAUCAAAAAGAAAUCAAUCAUUGACCUUUCCCGGGUUCGAUCUAUUUUUCAAAAAUCAAAAAAUCAUCAAUCAAGGACCCUUCCCGGGUUGGAUCUCAUUUUUCAAAAAUCAAAAAAUACUCCGAUCGUGCAGAGAUUUACUUUCUUGUCCUUCCCAUAACCUGGAGAUUUUACUUUUCUGUCUAUUCUCCGAUAUCGCAUCGAAACGGUACUACAGACCAUCAAAUCCUCCCAUUGCAUUGAGACUAAUUCAAAUUUUACUUUCCUGUCCAUGCUCCGAUAUCGCAUUAGAAUAGUACUACAGCCCGUCGAAUCCGCCAAUCGCGUGGAGACUAAUUCAAAUUUUACUUUCCUAUCCAUGCUCUGAUAUCGUAUAGGAACUGUACUAUAGCUCGUCGAAUCCUCCCAUCGCAUAGAGACUGAUUCAAAUUUUGCAUUCCUAUCCAUGCUCCGAUAUCGCAUCAGAGCGUUACUAUAGCCCGCCGAAUCCUCCCAUCGUGUGGAGACAGAUUCAUAUUUUACUUUCCUGUCCAUGCUUUGAUAUCGCAUCAGAACGGUACUACAGCCCAUCGAGUCCUCCCGUUGUAUAGAGACUGAUUCAAAUAUACUUUUCUGUCAAUGCUCCAAUAUCGCUUCGGAACGGUAACCACAAAGCCCAUCUAAAAUUCAAUGCUCCGAUAUCGCUUUGGAAUGGUAACCACAAAGCUCGUCUAACAUUCAAUCUCCGAUAUCGCUUCGGAACGGUAACCAAAAAGCUCGUCUAACUUUCAUGCUCCGGUAUCAUUUCGGAACGGUAAUUACAAAGCAUGUUUUUACAUUAAAUUCUCUUUAUCAAAAAUAUUAAGAAUUGAUUAAUUUAAAGUUUAAAAAAAUGAAAUGAAAUGAAAAUCUAAAAAAUAUUUUCUUUGUAAUCUCCCUGAACUACGCUUGACCUGAUUCUCAUUUAGACGAGAUAUGUAGGUAACAUACGAGUCCGGUCUCAUUUUUUAAAUAAAUUGCAAAAACAUUUUGAUUAACUAAAAAAUUUAAAAAACGGGGAACCAUUCCACGGGUUUGGUCUCAUUUAUCAAAAAAUCAAAAAAAAGAACUAGAGGAAGAAGAGAAGAAAGAAAGAAACAUCAAUAUAUUGACUUGGUGGGUACCAACAUAGUUAUGAGUGUGCAUGGGAAAGAACAAGUAUUUAAGUGAUAUGAUGGAGAGGAUCACUUUCGGGUAAAUCAUAGAUUCUUGUGGUAUCUCUCAAUUAUACCUUAAGUGGUGCUUGAAAAAUCUCAUGCAUACAGUUAGGGUAUGAACAAAGUCAAAAUCAUCGUUUCUUGUGCAUUGUGUGGUGAGCUUUAGAUUAAAAAUUUGAUGGCAUUGCAUUGUAGAUCUAGAACUUUGCCUGAAUAUCUGUUGAGGCAAAAUUCUGAGUAACACAUGGUUUAGGAAAGGAUCGUAGGACUUCUUUGACCCGUUUGAGCCUUUCUAGCCUACCAAAUGACAUCAAUCCCUAACAUUCCCCCUUUGAGCCUUAAGACAUUUUCUUGGACAACCACAUCUUAGCCUGUACCCUUCUUUGUGCUUAAGAGCACUACCCCUCUCUUAGCUCAACCUUCUCGCGCGCACUGAAAAUGUGUAAUUUCGGACAAAGACCAAAGUGGAGGCGACAAGCAUGAAAAGGCAAAAUAUGCAAAGUCCAGGGCAAUCGGAGAUGCGACUUCAAAAAAAAGCAAGAACUCCACUGCAUGCAUUGAACAUCAUUCCCUUCACAUCUCUCUCUCUCUCUCUCUCUCUCUCUCUCUCUCUCUCUUUCUCUCUCUCUCUCUUCUGCUCUAGAUCUCACACCCCUGUUGGCCGGAAAAUGGUUUCCCCUUUUAAGCUUGGCCGGCAGAUCUGGAAUGGUCCAAGUGCUGGCAAAGCUUUAUAGGAAAACUCCAGAUCCGGCGAGCCUCAUUCGUUGCUUUGAUUGUUUCUUGAGUCUCAUCGGCUUAGAUAUUCGAUGCCAGUAACCCUGUUUUUGGUGACCUCGUCAGACCUCGUGUCUAGUUUGUGUAGGCGCGGGUACCGUUACUUUUGAGAGAAUGUUAUUGUCUCUACUUGGAGGACAUUUCUUGGCCACUGAUUUGGGUGUUGUUCAAUUUUCCGGCGAUCUCUCUUGCUCGUUUUCCUUUACUGAUUUAUGCGUUCAUUUGAUUUAUUAUUUGUUGAUGUUUGAUUCAUUUUCUUUGGGUUGUUACUGUUCUGAGGGACUUUUUGUUGGCUGUGAUUUAUGCAAUGGCUGUAAAGACUCGCCGAAAAAUUAUUUACGACGUUGAUGGUGUUUGUUGUUGUUGCUGCCUUGAUAGUUUUGGUCGUUGCCUCGUUGAAGACUUGUUAACACAUUUUGUGUUUAUGAAUUUGUGUCGGUUUCUAAAAAUUACCUUAUGAGGCCUAUGAAAAGAUGUAAAUUUUUGAGGCCUUGCGAUGAUUUUUGACUGGUAAAAGACAAGAUACUACACCAUCGCUCGGAUUCGGAACAAAGUAUAUUUAUGAGGUGAUGACGAAAACUAAAAAAAAUAAAAGACGAGAAUGUGAAUAUCCGUGCUUCGGAAGGCAACACAGUUGGCUGCCAGAGUUGUAAGCAAUUCAGUAUUCGCAUUCUAAUGUCUUAUUGCUAAACGACAUACACCAUCCGAGCCUACAAAAUAUUUUAAAAUCAUUUUCUAAAAUAAUUUCCAAAAACAUUUUUUUAAAAUCAUUUUCUAAAACAAUUUUCAAAAAUAUUUCAAAUCAUUUUCAAAGAUAAAACAAUCUUUUAUAAAAGUAUUUUCAAAGGAAAACCAUUUAAAAAUUAGUAAUAUUUAAAUUUUCUUACUUUAUAUUAUCUUACUAACAAUUUUGCUUUUCUUUUGCGAGGUCCAAUCAUAUGAAGUCUCUUUCGAAAGAUGAUGCUCGGAUUGACUUGAUAUCCUUGUCAAACCCCCGCUCCGUCUCUUCUCAUUCUCGGAUGUACAAAAAUAUAUAAGUAUUAUGAUAUAUUAGUUAGAUAUUGCAUGCUUCUUAUUUCCUUGCUUGAUAUGUUUAGUUGCACAAAUUAAGUUAGAAUAAUGUACAUAGUUAAUCACUUGAUGCAUUACUAGUUAAUCAUAAUUUACUCAAUACUUAGGCCUUAGACAUGUUCUUGCAAUUAGUUUGGUUAACUUGAUUCAUAUUCACUUAGUUAAUUGUAACGAUCAGGCAGGUCAUUUUGAAUAUUGUUAUCCUGUUUUCCCAUUUAUUGCUCAUUCUAUGUUCAAUUAUGGUUAUGUGACUUGCCGGGGUGGUUGGUUUGGUUCCGGGAAUGUUUCGGAAUGAAUUGGGAUACUUAGUCCCAAGGUUAGAAGCAUAAGUUGAAAGAGUUGACUGGAUGUUGACUUAUGAGUAAACGACUCUGGAAUGGAGUUUUUAUGGUUCUAAUAGCUUUGUAUGGUGAUUUUGGACUUAGGAGUAUGUUUGGAUUUUGAUUUGGAGAUCCGUAAGUCGUUUUGGCUUGAAUUGGCGAAAGUUUGAAAGCUGAAGGUUUGGAAAGUUAAGAAGUUUGACCGAGAGUUGACUUUGUUGUUACUGGGCUUGGAUUUUGGUUUUCGGAGUUGGAAUAGGUCUGGUAUGUCAAUUAAGACUUGUGUGCAAAAUUUGAGGUCCAUCGAAGUUGGUUUGGUGUGGUUCGGAUUUGGUUUUAGAAGUUGGAAGUUCAAUAGCUCAUUAGGCUUGAAUUGGGGUGUGAUUCAUGUUUUCGAUAUUGUUUGAUGUGAUUUAAGGCUUCCACUAUGUUCGUAUGAUAUUUUAGGAUGUUUUGGUAUGUUUGGAUGGGGUCCCGGGGGCCUCAGGUGAGAUUCAAAUUGAUUUUUGACUGAGUUUGGCCUUAUGGAAUUGCUGAUUUUUCAGGUAUUUCGUUUCCUCUUACACGAUCGCGUGAAGAGGGUCGCGAUCGCGUAGGGUUAAGUCUGGCAGGUGGUAAUUAACUCAGUGCAUUCGUGGGAGUUCGUCUGCGAUCGCGUGCCUUCGGGGAGUUGUGUUACGCGAACGCGUGAGAGGUGACACGUUCGCGAAGAAGAAAGACGAGACUGGGAUGCCAUACACGUUGCUCUUCGCGAUCGCGUGGGUCUGGCCGCGAUCGCGUAUGUUUGGGGAGUUAGUCAUCGCGUUUGCCAUUGAGUCUUCGUAUUCAUGAAGUGUAUUUUUGAGGGCAACAUCUUUUGUUCUUCGCGAUCGUGAGGGACUUUUCGCAAUCGCAAAGAGGAACCACUGGGCAGACUAUUUAAUUUCAAAAAUGAGGGUUAGAGUAUUAUUUCAUAUUUGGACUUGGGGAGCUCGGCUAGAGGCGAUUUUGGAGAGAUAUUUCACUACAAAUCAAGAGGUAAACUAUUUUUGAUCACUUUUGUCCAAUAAUAUUGAAUACCCCUUGAUUUCUACAUCUAGAUUAUAUGUUUUUAAGGUGAAAUUUGGGGAAUUUUGGACUAGGGAUUGGAGAGUAAGAUUUGGGAGUUUGAGGGUCGAUUUGUGGUCGAAAUUGGAUGAUUUUGGUAUGGUUGGACUCGUUAUUAAAUGGGUAUUCGGAUUUUAUAAAUUUUAUCGGGUUCCGAGGCGCCCAGGGUUGAUUUUUGGUUUGACUUUUUGAUUUUGGUUAAAGAACUUAGAUUUAUCGUAUGGGAUCGAUUCCUAUAGCUUGUAUUGAUUCUAUUAAGUUAUUUGUAACUAGAUGCGAGUCGUUCGGAGGUCGAUUUGCGAGACAAGGGUUUGUUGGAGCAUUUAAUUGCUCGCUUUGAGGUAAGUAACACUCCUAAACUUAGUACUGAGGAUAUGAAUCCCUGAAAUACGUGUUGUGUGGUUGGUGUUGAGGAUGAACCUCCUAGGUGAUAGGCGUGUGGGCGUGCACCGCAGUAAUUAUGAUUCGGUUGAUUUUGUGGUACUGUGUAGUUAUCUAAUCUUAUUUCUAUCCAUGAAAUUCCUACGUGUUAGAGUAAUUGAGUUGUGAUCCAUGUUAGAGAUCAUAUUUAGGCUACAUGCUUAUUCUGUUGGAACCUACUGGGAUCAUUUAUGUUGUUGAGUUUUUUGCUUAAAUUGUAAUUAUGUACUCAGUCAUAUUCAUUCAUUUUGCAUAUCAUAUCUCAGUCUCUGUUAUCAUUUACUAUUACAUCAUGUUAUCAUUGUUUGGGUUGAGUGGUAUGAUAUAUGUGAGACCAUGGGACUGGAGAGAUCGAUGACUGAGUUGGGGCCUAAUAGCCAUGUUGUGAGUGAUAUUGUAGAUCGGGUUGCAUGUCGCAGCAAGCCAUAUUUGCUUUAUAUAUUAUUAUUAUUAUUAUGGAAUGGGUUGCACGCCGCAGCAAACCUUAUAGGCUUUAUCUAUUAUUAUGGGAUCGGGCCGAACGCCGCAGCAAGUCAUAUUGUCUUUAUAUUAGCGCUUGGGCAGGAUUCGCCCCUCUAGAGUCUGACAUACCAGUAGUGAGCGUAGGUACCAUAUAGUGGUGAGUGAUUGUGUGCGAUGAGUAGGAGUUGAGACAGUCAGUUUGAGUACUCUGAGAGCAUGAGUACCUGGGAGUAUCAAUGUGAUGCAUUACAUUUGACAUGCGUAUUUGACAUGUAGUCAUAGAGAUGUAACAUUCCUUUUGCUAGCUAUACUUGGCAUAUUUUAUCAGUGUUGAACUUAAAUUGUUGAAUUCAAAAGCAUGUCUACAUUUCUGUAUUGUGUACGAACUGCUUAUGGAAUUUCUCUAAGUUAUUACUAUCAUUUCCCUGUUAUAUUUGUACUGUCAUUAUUUGGAUUUGGACUGUAUCUUUCUGAGCUCGUCAUUGCUUUCAGUCCAAGGUUAAUCCUGUUACUUAUUGAGUACAUUGGGUCGGUUGUACUCAUACUAUACUCUGCACUUCGUGUGCAGAUCCAGGUACAUCUGGGCACUGCAAUUUCAAGAUUUGGUGCAGUAUCUACUCAUAUAUUAUUGAGGUAGCUGCUAUGAUGUCCGCAGACCUCGACUCUCCUUCCUUUCAUUUUAUUCAGUACUGUUUCAUUUUUCAGACAGUUGUAUUAGAGAUUUAGACUGUAUUGACACUUAGUAGCUCAUGUAUUUGGUGACACUAGGAAUUUGGGAUUGGUGUAGUUGAGUCGUAGAUGUUCUUAUCAGAUAUUUUUGAGAUUUUCACUGUUAAACUUAUUAAAUCAUGAUCUUAAUUUAAAUGCGUAGUUAUUUUGUGAUUGUUGGCUUACCUAGUAAUGUGGUAGGCACCAUCAAGAUAUGUUGAGAUUUGGGUCAUGACAUUAAUCCAACUAAUUAGCUUAACUCGAGUAAAUUGAGCUUGUGAAUAAUUUAAUUAUGUUUAGUAUAAAUAUUAGUGUAUUUAAUUAUUAUGAGAUUCUCUCCACUCUUACCAUAUCUUAUAAUAAUAAACUUGAAUGAAUAAUUUCUUUAGCUAACAAUAUGAUUUAAUGUAAUAGUCUUAGGUGAAGUUUUAAUCAUAGGAGCAAUCUAUUUAUUUCUACACAUAUUCUGUCAUUGAAAAUAGCUCUUUUUUGUAUAUCCUUGACAAGUCUCCCUAGACUCCAUUAUAUUCAACUAACUCUUUAGAAUGAAACUUUGGUAAUUCUAUUGUCACAUGUAAGAUUUAUGUGAAUAAUUCCUUUCCCUUGCUCCCCUAUUUGUGAUAAAUUUUCCUACUUUACUUGAUUAUUCCUUUUAAGUUAAUUGAUGACUAUUUUUGUUCAAAGAUAAUUCGUUGCCUCUCAUUAUAUGUAUUCAACUAUGAUUAAUCUUGUAUAGUUAAUCACUUAGCUUCAAAUUACAAGUCAAGGUUUUUCCUUAUACUUUCUUUCGAAUCCAAUUCUUCCAAUCAAACUCAAAAAAGAUUUUCGCUUAUUAAUUUGCUUUGUGCAUUUUAUUAUACAUAUCUUGCCAUAAAUAAAAUAGUUGUGCUUCAAAUAUUCAUUCACUACGUGACAAUAACCUUGGCUACUCUUUGGUAGGAAUUCUUUGUGACGUAGUUAGUCAUUUGAGAGGCUUAGGCCUUACAGUCAUAUAGGCUUGGCCCAAAAGUGAUGUUUCAAGACCGUGGCUCUAAAUAUGGUCUCUAGCUGCUUAUUGAAUGAUCAUUCUUUCCUAAUACAAAUAUUUCCUUAUUAUAUUGGUAUGGUAAUUUUCUUAUGUCAUAAAUAUUUUGAUGCAUUCUCUUAUAUCACAUCCAUUCAUCAAAUCAAUUCUUUAUUCAUUAAAUCAAUUCUUUCACUUUACUCAUUAUACACUAAGAUUAUCCGAGGAUGACUCUUCCUCCAUUCUUUGAUCAAAUUCCUUGCUAACUAUUCAUUCAUGUGCAAAUAAAUAUUCUUUCCCUCUUUUUCUCAAAUCCUUUAGUAUAAACUUUCUCUUGUAGUAGUUAUCCAUCUAAAACUUUUAACUCUAAUUAUGAAUCGUUUUCUAUUUAAGUUUAUUCUUAUAAGUUCAAACUUUUAUUCAAACAAUCCGAGUUAACAUGCACUCUUUAGGUGCAAUUCUUUUCAUAUUGUUCAAUCUACACUAAAAAUACUAUCUUUGAAUAUAUCUUUAAUUCUUUGUACACUACAUAUUAUUGCAUAUAUAUUUUGUCAAAUAUUUUACUAUUCGUUAUCUAGAACUCAUUUUACACUCAGCUUAUCUUCUGGAAUACGAUUCCCUUGUCCACUUUAUAUAUAUUUCAUACGAGCCAAUAUAUUUUAAUUAUUUUAUUUCAAAAAUACAAAAAAGAUACUUGCAUACUUUUUUCGUACAUUAUUCAUUACAUAUUUAAUAUGAUUACUGUUUAUUCUAGUACACGAUAGUCAUUCUUUUAUUCUUUAUAAUAGUUAUGAGUAUUUGCUAAUUAUCUUUGAACAUUCCCUCCCUUAUUUGAUCGAGUCCACCAGAACCACAUUUUUUUGGAUCUUGAGGGAUGCCUAAAACCUUCCCCUCGAGAUAACUUGAACCCUACCUAGAAUCUUAACGGUUUCGCAGAUCAUAGUUAAAGUGUAUAUUACGUAGUAUAAUAUAGGUGCCCUAGUAUACCUUAAAUACUAGGUGGUGACUCUAAACAAUAAUUAACCUUGUAGAGUACUAAAAGUUGUACAUUAUUUUGACUUGUGAAAAAUAGGUUGCAACACCUGAGACCCCGUCCAAAUACUCCAACCAAUCCUAGAACAUGACAUGGACCUACUCGAGGCCUCAAAUCACACAAAACAACAUCAAAAUCACUAAUCGCACCUCAAUUCAAUCAUAAGGAAACUAAUGAACUUUCAACUUCCAAAACUCGUGCUGAACCAUAUCAAAUCAACUCGGAAUGUCCCCAAAUGUUUCAUACAAAUCCCAAAUGUCACAGCGGACCUAUCCCAACUCCUGGAACAAAAGUCUGAACCCGAUAUCCAUAAAGAUAACUCCCGGUCAAACCUAUCAACCUUCCAAACCUUCAACUUCCUAACUUUCGCCAAUUCAAACCAAAUCGACCUAGAAACCUCCAAACCCAAAUUCGGACAUACGCCUAAUUAAAAUAUCACCCUGCGAAGCUAUUGAAAUCCUUAAAAUACCAAUCUGGAGUCGUCAAUACAAAUCCAAUCUCCGGCCAACUAGUAUAACUUAAGCAUCCAACAUUGGGACUAAGUAUCCAAAAUCACUCUGAAACUUCUCUGAAAUCAAACAAACCUCCCGAGCAAGUCUCAUAAUCACAAAUACACAUAUGUAAAGCAUCAAAUAGGGGAAACGAAGUUAAAUUACUCAAAACGACCGGCUGAAUCAUUACACACAGCCACCUGAAUCCACUCACUACCAUUCUAUUUCUUCACCCAAAUUAACCUCACCUGCUCCAGUAACACCAUUUCUCCUAGGAAUAAGAAGAUUAUCUCUGUUGAUGAGAUAAAAGCCAAGAGAAUUUAGGGGUUAUGUAAUUUUUGUGAUGAAAACACACACUCCUUGUCAAAAGUUUACCCUCUCUAAACAAAUAUUUGUUAUGGACUUGGAGAUUCUGGGGAAGAGAAAAAGGUGUGGAGGAGGUGAUAUCCAAAUCUAACAAUGAUUGUCCUAUAGAGGAAUGGUCUGCUAGUGAGAGAGACACUCCUAUGAUUAAAUUCUUUAUGUGCCUUAAGUGGGUUUCAAGGUGUUGAAACUAUACAUGUUGUUGGUACAAUGAAAAGAGGCCAUUACAGAUAGUGAUUUAAUUCUUUUUUAUGGAGGUAGCACUCAUAACUUCAUAGAUAGUGCUUUUACUAAGAGGCUUAUGUUGGCAUUGCCUAAUUAUUAUCUUCCAUUUAUUGUUGAAAUUGAUGUCAUUGUUAAAGGUUUCAAGGUGUUGAAACUAUAAUUGUUGUUGGAUACAAUAAAAAGAAGCCAUUAUUGACUCUUCUGGAUGGAGUUGAUCACUCUUAACUUCAUAGAUAGUGCUUUUGCUAAGAGGCUUAUGUUUGCAUUGCCUAAUUAUUCUCUUCCUUUUAUUGUUAAAAUUGAUGCUAGUGCUAUAGGUAUAGGAGUUGUUCCUACACAGGAGGAUCAUCCUAUAUCCUUUAUCAAUAAAGGUUUGGCUCCUAGGCAUGCUGCUUUUUCUGUGUAUGACGUAGAACUUUUACCCUUGUUUUAUUUUUGUUAAUAAGUGGUCUCAUUACCUUCUAGGGUAGCAUUCCAUUGUGAAUACUGAAGAAGGCUUUAAAGUAUCUUUUAGAUUAGAAGUUACAUAUUGAUUUCUUAAUCAAAUGGCUUGCUAAACUAUUACCCUUUGAUUAUGAAAUUGAGUACAAAAAAGAAUGUAGUAGUUGAUUCCCUCUAUAGACUUCAUGGUGCUGAGCUCAUGGCCUUGACGAGGUCCUUAGUACAAGCUGAUCUUUAGAAGGAAAUUCAUGAAAGAUGUUCUUUUGAUCCUAAACGGAAAAUCCUUAUCGAUUCUUUAAAACUUACUCUAUAGAAGCACUACACUUGGAUGAAUGACCAGUUGAGAAGAAAGGAAAAACUGAUUAUUCAUAAUGAUAAGGAACUCAUAACUAAAAACAUUUGUAUGUGGCAUUCUACUCCUACAGGGGGCCAUUCUGGUAUUGACGAUACUACUAGAGGACUAUUAGCAUAUUUCUAUUGGAAGGGAAUCCAGACUGAUAGAAUUAACUUCAUUCACAACUGCUCAAUUUGUCAAAGGAGUAAAUGUAACACUUCCGCUUCCUCUUAUUUUUUCAACCACAUCAUAUUUCUACACUCCCUUGAACAGACAUUUAUAUGGAUUUCAUAGAAGGACUACCUAACUCUAAGGGUAAAUUAGUUAUUUGGGUUAUUGUGGAUAUGCUGACAAAGUAUGAUUAUUUUAAUGCUCUUACACACCUUUACACUGUUCAAUCAUGUUACAACCCAUAUUCACGUACGUUAGAUCACGCCGCAAGUUAGUCGACGUAAAUUCAAAAAGUGAUUAUCUUUGAUAUGAUAAGAAGUUAAUCCUAUUGGUCUUAAACAAUACAAGGGUGUAUAAGAGUGGUCAAGAAGUAUUAGAAGUUAAACGAAUCAAGAAUGUUGUAACCUGUAUUUUCGGGUAAAACUUGAGGUGCUUAAUAUUCUCAAGAGUCGUGUUUUAAGGUAUUUGAAUCAUAUAAUAUCCGUAUCAUAAGUCUUGAAGUCAAACGAGUUAUGAAAUAAAAGUCGACAAAAGUUGUCGCAACUUACGUUCAUAAUUUUACUUAAACUUUAGGUCAAAUGUUACUAAGCUUUUCUCCCAAUUUACUUUAAAUUUUGGGGUGAUUUACCCACCAAAUUGAAGAUAUAUGAGUCAAGUUUGCAUCACAUUAAACUGUUUUUCGAUAUGAUAUCAGAGUAGAGAGAUAUUAGCAUUUUUACGAGACUACGCAAGCAGCUCUCUAGGGGGCCCACAUAGGCGGUUGAGAUAUAUUGAUAUAUAUCAGACCCCUUAACCCCCUUUUAACUCAUUAUUUUUCAUUCUCUUCAGACCGUAGACACCUAAAAACACUCUCUCAAGGUUCUCUCAUGAUCUAAGACCCAAACAAAGGGCAAACAACACAAAUUAAUUGUCGGAAAUCCCGUGGAGCUAGUAAGUUUCUUGUUCUUCUUGUUGUUGCAGAUUUUUGUGUUGUUACAGCUCGUGUGGGAGGUUGUUUUAAGUUGUUUAUGUUCUGUAAAAUACUCCUUCAAGUUUGUAAUAUCAACCCUAGGUGAUUUCAAGUCAUCUAUUGUGAUUCUAGUGGAGUAAAAAAUCCUAAUUGAUUGCUAGUUUCGUUUCCUUGCUCUUGUGGCAGCAUUAGAAGGAUCUUUCGUGGUAAAUUAAGGUCAAAUUGGAGUUUUUCUAUCUGUUUAAAGGUAAGAAACCUAUUACUCUACAUGUAUUUAAGAUUAUCCAAGUUGCGGCUAAGUCGUUGAAGCUAGAACUUGUGAGUUAUCUAUCAAAAGGCUUGUUAGUAAUGUUGUUGGUUGGUGGACUAUUUUAGGAGGCUUAAUAUAAUUAUUAUUGAUAUUUUUUCGGCUGUUUCAUGAUUUUUUUAACUUGUGGGAAGUCAUAUAAAUAGGAAAGGUGCUGUCCGUUUCAUCGUAGAAUAGGUUGCGGUCGAUGUAUAAUAGUUACAACGCUUAAACGAUAAUGAUAGUAUCAUUUCUCUUAUUGUAGACUAAGGAGUCGUGAUAUUUGAAUAACUUGAGGUUGGGCAGUAUAUACAAGGUAUGUGAGGCUAUCAAUUUCCUUUUUUUUGCACGACUCCGAUUGUACAUAAUGUAAUGAACGAGCUUCCAAAGAUAUUCCACUCUUAGAAACUAGCAAUACUUACAUUGUUUCCCUUCUUAUGGAAUAAUUGAUGUUGAUGUUACUUCUCUUAUUCUUAUGUUAUCAAUGUUGUUAGUACUUCCUAAUUCUUAUAAGAUUCCUGAUGAAGAGUUAGUCCUAAUAACGUGUACGGAGGAUACCGACCUUACGUCACUCCGAAAGGUUCAGAAUGUGAUUCCAAUGAGUCCAACAUGCAUCCUAUAUAUGUAUCUAUUUUACUCUACCGAGCCGCGCUACAAUCGGUCGGGUAUGGUACCUAUUUUGCAACCACUGAUCAGUUGGGUUUUACCGAGCUCCACGUGGGCGGGUAUGAUUCUACCGAGCCUUAUGAUGGCCGGGUAUGUUUUUUCCGAGCCUAUUAUGGCCGGGUACGAUAUGAUGAUUAUGAUUNNNNNNNNNNNNNNNNNNNNNNNNNUACUCAGAUGUUACAGGUUGUAUAUUCUCUAUCCAUGUUUACAUUAUUGUUCUUAUUUAUGCUUUCCUGCCUUACAUACUCAGUACUUUAUUCGUACUAACGCCCUUUUUAUUUGUGGACGCUGCAUGUCGUGCGGCAGGUCCUGAUAGACAGGUAGGAGAAGAUCCCCCACCACAGUAGGCUGCCCAGUUCAGCGGUUAUUGGCAAGAUCCCUCUUUCGGACUUGUCGUGGUCUUGGUAUGCACUUUUGGUUAUAGACAUUAUGGGUAUGUCGGGGCCCUGUUCUAGCAAUGUUGCAGCACUUAUGUUCCUUUAGAGGUUCAUAGACAAGUGUCGACUCAUGUAUAGUUUGGAUUGCCUUGUCGGCUGAUUUUUAUUGUAUAGUCUCUCAUGGAAGCAUGGCAGCUCGUACCUUAUAUAUAGCUUCAUGAAAUCCUUGUCGGCCCAUGUUAUGUAUGUUCAUGCCAUUAUCUGUCAUUGUUGGUUGUUCAUGAUUCAUCUCUACCAUUCAUGUUGAUCUCCUGGGGCCUUAUAUAUAAUAAGAAAGGUUAGAUAAAAUGUACGUUGAUGCUUGGCAGGUAUGGCUCGGGUGCUAGUCAUGACCCUCCAGUUUGGGUCGUGAAAAACUUGAUAUCAGAGCAAGUUUGUCCUUGGGAUUCUCUAUGAGCCGUGUCUAGUAGAGUCUUAAUUAUGGAUGUGUAGCGCGCCACAUUUAUAAUCAGAAGGCUACAUGACAUCUAGGGUUGUUACCUUCUUCCUGAAUCAAGAUCGUGCGUAAAGUUGAGUCGUAAGUGUUCAUCUCUAAUAUUCACAUUGUUUUCUUUCAGCGAUGCCUUCGACUAGGAAGAAAGAAAUUAGUAGACGGCUUGAUACAACUGUGGGGGAGGGUACCAGUCAGGUGCCUCCAGCCAAAGCAGGGAAAAGUGAGGCUCUGAGUAAGAUGUCGUCUCAUACCUCAUCUACUCCGU